GUCAAGGACCCAGAAGAGUUUCCCUUCAACCAAGAGGCCAAUCACAGCACGACACGUGUCGACAUCAGAAGCCAAUCAUAGCGCGACACGUGUUAACAUCAGAAGCCAAUCACAACACGACACGUGUCAAUGUCAGAAUGAAACUAGAAACUCUCUUCUAUAAAUAGAGAUCAUUCUCUCACAAUAUUUCCUAAUGUCAUUUGUACUAAAUCAUUCACUAAUACUCACUAAAGGAGAGCUUGAACCUAUGUAUUUGUGUAAACCUUUCACAAUUAAUGAGAACUCCUCUACUCCGUGGACGUAGCCAAUUUGGGUGAACCACGUACAUCUUGUGUUUGCUUCCCUAUCUCUAUCCAUUUACAUACUCAUCCACACUAGUGACCGGAGCAAUCUAGCGAAGGUCACAAACUUGACACUUUCUGUUGUACCAAGGUCCUCACUGAUUUUGUGCAUCAACAGUAUUAUUUUAUAAAAUAAAAAAUACUAAUAUUUUAUUGCCUAUUGUCAUGGCUAUUCAGUUUAGGGGUGGAGAUGCAAAAGGUUCAUUGAAGGCAAUUACUGUUUAUUAAAGGCUAUUCAAUAAUGAGUUGCCCUAGGGGCCUUUGCAACACUAGAGUUGGUCUAAUGUUUGUCAAAUCCCACUCUCCACCAUUGAUUGCAAUAUUUUCAUCUCACAAACUGAGUCCUUCAGUCUCCCAUUCUCCAUUCAUUCAUGACUCGAGACUCGAGCUCGAGUCGAGUCCUCAAAAGUAGCCAUUCAUUAACAACGAACAUCUCAGACUCCACACCCCUAAACUCCGUCUUCGUCUCCCUCUUUCUGGCGAAAUGCGAGUGGUGGUAACCAUCAAAAACCACCAUCACCAUCAAAAACCACCAUCACCAUCAUCUCUCCAAAUUGAGACCACCACCGUCAUCUCAUCUCCUUCCAAAUUAAGGUAAUAUAAUUUCUGAACUCUUAAUUUUUAACUCUCUGGUUAAUUUUCUGGGUUUAGGGAUUUAUGGUUAUCUACAAUCUCUGAUUCUCUUUGAUCAAUUUUUGGAUUUGAGAGUUAGGGUUUUCUACAAUCUCUCAGUCUAUUCGGCAGUUCUUCAUACCCCAAACACAAUCCACAAAUUUUCCUUCGUAGAAAUUGGGAAUUUGGAAUUUGGGGAUUUAGGGUUCAAAUGUUCAUACCGUACCUACUGGGCAUUCCAUAAUGUUUGAAAUUUGAAUUGGGAAUUAAUGUAAUGUUCAAACUUGCAGACUUGUUGUAUAGCACUGAAUGGAAAUUUAUUUAUUGUCCAAAUCUACAAAUGUACAACACCUUCCUAAGAUCUUCAAGUGUUCAACAACUUGUGCAAUGUGCAAUCUCUGCUUUGAAUCUACAAGCUUGAAAGUAAAUUGAGUAUUUUAUUGAUAGUGGAAACUAUUUGUAAGACUAUAAUUUAGAGAUUCUGUUUACAAGGCUCAAAGUUUUGAAUUUCCAAAAAGCUAUAUGGUUUCUCUUCCCAGUCCCUACUCAUUUUGUUUCUUGUUUGGCAUCUCUUUGCAGAUGUUUACAUGAAUCAAUUGGUGAUUAAUCUCAGUCCAUAUCAUGAAUUCGUUUAAAGAUCAUAAACGUCAAUCAGUAAUUUUGGUUUUUUCUAGGCAACGAUAUAUGUAAAGGGAGAUGGAUGUAAAUAUACUUGUAUAUAGCUAUAUAUGGAAACAAAACUUUGUAAUCAAGGAGGCUUCUUCUGCAAGAGUAAUAAAUUAUUAAACAGUUUAUUUUUUUUUCAAAAUAAAUAAUAGUUGGACUCGUGGACCCGUCCCGAACCGGCCCCCUUUUUUUGGGUUGGGUUAGGUCUAGUUCCAAAGUUCAGAUUUCUUAUACCUAGCCUGACUCGUCUCGUUACAUUUUAAAAAGGUCCAGUUCGGUUCCUUCAAAUUUGGACCCGGCCUGGCCUGUGCCCAGCCCUAGAUAGGAUGAGAUGAAAAAUUAAUGAUUUUGGAAAAUUGAUAUAAAAAAUCGCUUAAAUUUUUGUCCAUAUAACAAAAUGGAAAAGCUCUAUAAGUUCAUUUGACAUUUCAAAAUAAUUUCCUUGUUUCUUCUACUCAUUAUUUGACUCGUAGAUUUUACUUACACAUUAAGUCUUCUUUCCGAGGAGAAUGAUUGGUCUCGGGUCAUUAGUGCAAAUGACACCAAGAUAAGUAUGUAGGUGCUCAAUAGAGAGUGAGUCCAUUGAACACGAUCAAUAAGGAGUUCUCAUACUCAUGUCACAUGAGAACUCAUGGUUGAGAUAUUGCAAAUUAGUCAAUUAACUGAGACAUCAUAGUUGUCUUGUGGUUAGGUCCUUUGUCUUAGGUUGUGUUAAAGGCAUUCCAUUUGAGGUGUCCACGGAAUAGUUGGGCCUAUGCUACUUUAUCAAGUGGGCUUGUGAAUGUACAACAAGAGAUCUUUAAACUUCAAACAGUUGAGGGAGAAUACUCUGUGAUGGCCAAAGUAUGAAUGAGAUUUAGGAAGACGUUCCAAAUCACAUUCAAGGUAAUCAUAUAGAUAAGCAAAUUACACUAGAUAAUAAACAUAAAAUAAACUAUCAACUAAAAUGUGAUCAAGAGUAUUGAAUUGGAAAAAGACCGUAUUGCAUUGUCAUCCCAAACUGAAUAAGUUCUCCAACCUUUUUUUAUUAGCUUGGGCAACCAUGACAUACUGCUAGGUGUCACUCAUGAUUUGUAUAAGCCUUGAAGAUGUAUAAUCACUAAAGGGAGAAUUGAAAGUAAGUUGUAAUUCAUAAUCUAUUAGAAAUAGUUAUAAUAGCCCGCUGCCUCGCUAAAAGGAACUUAAUGGAUCGCACAUUGUGUAAGGUAGUGAUUGAAGGAUAUCACGAAGAUGAGUAAGGACAAUUCAAUAGUUUACUUGUAUAUGGCUAGGAUUAAUUAAUAUGUUAAUUAAUCAUAUGAAAGGUUUGUAUGGGGCCUUAAGUAAAUUUUGGCUUCAGGGCCCAAAUAGGUUUUGGUCCACAAGUCCCAUUGAGUUUAAGUUGUAUAACAAGUAAAACAAAAUGAGAACUAACCCAAACACAAACACUAUGGCCGACCAUGCUAGAGGAAGAGUGAGGUUAGUUCUUAUUAUGAUUAUGUCACUCAAUGUAAGGGACUAUAUAAGUGACUUUACAACCUCACCCUUUAUUAGGGUUUCAAGAGGCAAAAGAGAGAAAACACUUGUCUCUCUUUUCUUCAAAGAGGCCGGCCACCAUGGUAACACAUUGCAAGCAUUUUGUUCUUCCAUGGUCACUCAUCUUCUUCCUCAACCAUCUUUGGUGUCAGAAUUUAAAGGCCCUGUCUUUUGUAGGCUUUUGGAGAAUCCUUUCUUCCAUCCAAAUCCAAGAAGACGUGGAGCCAAGAAGCAAAGUUCAUCCAUCCAUAUCCAUGAAGGAUAUUUUGUGAAAAACAUGUUCAUUUGAGCAAUAUCUAUAGCAUGCAAUUAACAAAUUAAAGGCGGAAUCAUGCUUGCAUGCACUCAAAACAAAACAUUACCCAUUAAAUUCAAAGCCUAGUAAUUAGGUGAACCAAGACUCAACUCAAAACAAAGUGAGUUGAGAAAUUAUACCUUUGUUGAUUCCUCUUUGCAUAAGCAAAGGAUAAUCACCCAAGAGAUAGGGCCUUCAUUACUUGCUUCUUAGAUCCAUGGAUUUGGAUGGAAGAAUAGGUUUCUCCAAGUUCUCAAAAUUGAGAACCUCUAAGUCUCCACACCAAGGUAAGAUUUUAAGAAGAAAUGAGUGACCUAGAGGAAGUAAGAUUGCUAGCUAUUUUCCUCUAGGGUGGCCGGCCUCUUUAGAGAGAAAAGAGAGCUUGUGUUCUCAUCCUUUCCCCAAAAGAAAACCCUAAAUGAAUUUUGGCUAUAAAGUCAUAUUUAUACAUUCCUUCAUUGGAGUGGCAAACUUGUAAUUAAAGCAAGUUCACUACCCUCCUCUAAAUGGCCAGCCUUAAGGGUUUAUUGGGCUUUCAAGCCCUUUGUUUAUUCAAGUUGUCAUACAACUUGAGUUAAUGGGCUUGACAUUCAAAUCCCAUUGGGCCUUGCGGCCCAAAACUAACCCUAAGUCUAUAACGAACUUAUUCGUUGGAUUAAUUAACAUAUUAAUUAAUUCUAGCCAUAAAUAAAUAAUUAAACCAUUUAAUUAUCCUUACUCAUCUCCGUUGUUUCUUCAAUCUCUCUACCUUACACGGUGUGUACGAUCCAUUAGGUUCCUUUUAGCGAGGCAGUGGGCGAUUAGAACUCUUUCAAAUCGAUUGUGAAUUGAAACUUACUUUCAAUUCUCCCUUUAGUGAUUAUACACGUUUAGGGCUUCCACAAACCAUGAGUGACACCUAGCAGUAUGUCAUGGUUACCCAAGCUAAUCAGAAAAGGUGGAGAACCUAUUCAGUUUAGGAUUACAAUGCAAUACGGUAUUUCUCUAAUACAAUACUCUUGACCACAUUGUUUGGAUUGAUAGUUUAUUCAUGUCUACUAUCCAAUGUGAUUCAUUUACUUAUAUGAUUACCUUGAAUGUGAUUUGGAAUGACUUCCUAAAUCUCAUUCAUACUCUGGCCAGAUAUUCUUAAUCAUAUCAUAGAGUAUUCUCCCUCAAACGGUUUGAAGGUUAGAGAUCCCUUGUUGCGCAUUCACUUGCCUCCAUGGCUAAGUGGCUUAACCCCAACUAUGCCGUGGACACCCGUGAAUGGAGUGACUUUGACAUAAUCAAAGAUCAAGGGCCUAACCACAAGACAACUAUGAUGCCUCAGGUCAAAGGACUACUUUGCAUUAUCCCAACCAUGAGUUCUCAUGUGACAUGAGUAUGAGAACUCCUCGUUGAUCGUGUUCAGUUGACUCAUUCGUUAUUGAGCACCUACAUGCUUGUCUUGGUGUCAAUUACCAAUGACUCGAGACCAGUCACUCUCCAUAAGAGAAGACAUAGCACGUACUGAUCUUAACGAACUGUCAAUACCCAAUUGACAAUCCUAUGAUCAGGAAUGUUUAGGAUAUGUAAAAGAAAGAGAAUGGUCUCAUAAAUCUAACUUGUUUAAAUUACAUUCUCCUAAAUACAUAUUCCUUGGACUUAUCGUUUAAGCAUAUAACAUUUAUAUGAGACGGCUUAAAACAAUAAUCUUUGCCCUUGAUAUUAAACUAGAUUAGUUUAACAUGUGAUAUGUCCGUAAAGUAUCAUCACAUGAUUGGUUUUAGGGCACAUUUCCAACAAUCCAUGGAGCCAAAGAGCAUGAAGGCCCUCUCAUGGUUGAAUAUAUAUUUGUUAAGCAAAGGUAUAAUAAACUUCAACACACUUUGUUCCUUGAGUUGAGUCUUGGUUCACCACCACUACUAGGCUUUGAAUUUCAUGGUGUAAGUUUUGUUUUAGAGUGCAUAUAAGCAUGCUUCCACAAUUUAAUUGUUAAAUGCAAGUAUUAUGUUGCUCAAUGAACUUAGCUUAUCUAAAAAUUUCCUUCAUACUAUCCACGGAGUAAACGAAAGAAACGCUAGGGUCGGGGAAGAGUAAAAGAGAUAGGUGGUGGGCCCAUAAAAUCUUUUAGUUUUUUUUUUUGGUAAAGUUCUAUUCAGUGUUAUGCGAGAAAGAUAAAAGUUAUGUUUUUAGAGGGUUAAUUACACUAACAUCCCUCGAGCUUUUUCGAGUUUUCACAAAAUCUCCUCAAGUUUGAAACAUUACACUAACACUCCUUAAGGUUUGAGUUCAUUUUCACAAUUACCCAUUUGGUCGAAGAUUUUCAUAUAAGAGGACAAUUUGCCCUUAUAAUAAAUUACUUAACAUAAUAAAAAACUUUUAUAAAUAAAUAACCAGAAGAAAAUCAAAUAAAAAAUUACGCAGAACAUUAAUAAAUGAUAAAUCGGAAUCCAAACAUCUAACUUAUGUUUGUUUUUCCACUUGUGUCACUAAAAUGCACUCGACCCAAAAAACCAUUCCCCUCAUUUCUAGCAACCCCGUCCCUAUCUUCUUCUGGGUUGAACAAUCCCUAAGCUUUGAACAAAAGAGAUGGCGAUGUUCACGGGUAGAUUUCCUAGAAAGUAUGAAAUUAAGAUAAAUGGAGCAAAAAAAGAUGGUGAUGUCGAUGAAAAAAAUUUCAGAACAAAAGAGAUGGCGAUGUCGAUUAAAGGCAUUGCAAAACAUGGACAUAGGUGGUAGCGGAGAAUUGACUGUGCUCUCGAGUGUUGUGAAGAAAAUCGAUUUUUUUCGUCUUCGUCUAGACCGUUUAAUCUCUCAGUACAUCUAAAUGUUAUUGGACAAUAUUUUAUUUGUUCACUUAGAAGAAUUCUUAUAAUUGAAAAUAGAUCGAAUAAUUUGUUAGUGCAGUUGAAGUUCAAGAAAACACAUUCAAUGAUGAUGGAGGGACUCUAUCAGUUUUUCAUUUUUUUUCUUAAUGUUUAGUGUAACUUUUAAUUUGAUUUUCUUUUUCGUAUUUAUUUAUAAAGUUUAUUAUUUUGCUAAGUAAUUACUAUAAGGGUAAAUUUGUCUUUUUAUCGACAGAUUUUCUAUUAGAGAUAUUAAAGCCUUAAAGGAUGUUAGUGUAAUGUUUCAAGUUUGAGGGAGUUUUGUGAAAACUUAAAAAACCUUAAAAGGUGUUAAGGUAAUUAACCCGUUUUUAAAUCAUUUAUUUUAAAUGUUGAAAUGGUAGCCGAGUUCCCAACUCAAAUGAUAAGUGAGAAAAAUAAGUAGAGAAAAGUAAAUAAACUAGCAUUCCUUCAUAAUUUUGUGUGUAGUCAACCUAUAAUUUAGGAGGAUUUUAAAAUAUUUUAAAAGUAAUAGAUUUGAUAAGAUUUAAAAACUCCUACAAAUUCGAUAUAGAUUUUUGGAUAAACUGUCAUCUUCCCCCUUAAACUAUCAUCCUAUUGUCAAUUUACCCCUUAAUUUUUUUUCAACCAAUUUACCCCCUGAACUAUAAAAAUUGGCCAAUGUACUCUUUACUGUUGAAUUUGUUAAAUUCCAUCCAUUUAGAUGUUAAAAAUAAGGGUGAUUUUGUCAUUUCCAAUGCAAAAUAGUAUUUAAUAAAAAAUGAUAAAGAAAUUAAUAGAAAACCAAAAAAACAAAACCCUUGCAAAUAGCAAAUGGAGGAUUGGUUCAUAUAGAGAGAGAGAGAGAGAGAGAGAGAGAAAGAGAGAGAGAGAGAGAGAGAGAGAGAGAGAGAGAGAGAGAACGGCCUCCUAGACUCCCAGUGAUUGGAGUGGAAUCAGUGAUGUGGAUUCUAAGGUGCAAAGGAUUAGCAGUGGUGGCAUGGCAUAAUCGGAACCGGCUUGGUGGAGUUGAAUCGGAACCGGCGCGGUGAAAUUGAAUCGUUAGCCGCCCCUCCACCUCGGGCUGCUCGAAUAUGGACUUCAAAUCUACCGCUAACCCCACAAUUUUUUUAGAGAGGGAGAGAAAGAGAGAGAGAGAAUUGUGAUGAAGGUGGCGGGUUGGGUGGCGGGUUGAGUUCGGGCAGGGAAGGAUAUGGAAUUGCUGGGUUAAAGGAAUGUGGGCUGGAGAAUAGGGUCUCCUUUUAUUUUCUUUUCAAGUUUUAUUAUUUUUUUACUUUAAUAGUUAAAAGUGAUCUUCUUUUUUAAAUUAAAGAAUUGAUUUUUUAAACAAAAUUUGGAAGGAAGUUUAAAAGUUUGACGGUAAGGUGUAAAUUGGCACAUUAUAUAUAGUUCAGGGGGUUAAUUGGCUGAAAAAAUAGUUUAGGGGGUAAAUUGACAAUAAGGUGAUAGUUUAAGAGGGAAAAUGACAGUUUACCCUAGAUUUUUAAGGAUUUCUGUUGAUUUGGUUUAUGAUUUUGGUGGAUUUUUAAGGCAAUGGAGAUGGUAAUCCACCAGACAGCCGAAAGCAACCAUUGAUCUCCACCACUUCUACACUCUAACCGUUAUCGCCACCUAUGGGAAAUUCACCAUUAUGCACCAAGCCUAUGUCACAUCCCGGCCCGGGCCCCCACCACAUCCCGGGUUUGACUCCACUGUAGCAUGAUAUUAUCCGCUUUGAGCUCCAACCACGCCCUUACAGUUUUAUUUUUAGGAACUCACACGAGAACUUCCUAGUGGGUCACCCAUCCUGGGAUUGCUCCCGCAUAAACUCGCUUAACUUCGGAGUUCCGAUGAAACCCGAAGCCAAUGAACUCCCAAAAGGCCUCGUGCUAAUGGAGGUGGGCAUGUACAUAUAAGGCGUAGAGGAUCCACUCCCCUGGGCGAUGUGGGAUCUAAGACCUCUGUUCGACUUUUUGAUAAAAAAAAAUUACAAAAUAAAUAGGGUAAAUUUUAGUUUACUACCCUUAAAGUUUUGUGGUUUUCAACAUUUGGUAUAUGAAGUUUUUUUCAUCCCAGAGUCAUACCUAAAGUGUUAAUUUUGGAACAGUCUCAUACAUCUGUUAGUCUAGCUGUUAAGUCUCCCGUUAACUGAUGACGAGGCAUCCAUGUGGACAAUGACUGGGCGCCACGUGUCAUUAAGGGUCCACGUGGAAAUUAAAAAUUAAAAAUAAAAAAAUUAAUUUGGCUUUCUCCCUUAUCCCUCUAUUCUCUCCUCUACACCAACCCACCAAACCCUCUCUCCUCUCUUCUCAAUUCUCUCAAUUGCACUUGCAUAAGCAUCAAAAGCCUUAACGCAAUCUGGAUACUCCAUAUCAAAAAACUUAUCAAGCAAAACCGCCAAAACCUCCAUUCUCUCCAUAUCAAAACACAAGAGGAACCGGCUCCACGAACCUCGACUUGGGCUUCGAGAACGCCGACCUAGAAAACGAAGCUCAUCGGGAAGUGGGUUCGGUAGGGAUUUUAAAUGGCUUCCCCAGCAGUAGCAAGGGACUCGGCUUUAGGAUUUUUGGAGAAGCAGAGUCGGGUACCCUGGGGCUUUGAAGCAUUGUCAUUUAGAGAUUCGAGUCUCUGAUUUCGUUAAUGUAUCUCGUGCGUUCUUCGUUGCCCGAAAUCUGCAAAACCACAUUGUUUGUUCCUUUCUUCUCUCCUGCGCCUUUUCCACCUUCCAUUGCACCACUCAGAAGCUUUAGAUACCCAUUUGGACAGUGUUCAAAAUAUGAAAAUACCUUCAUUUUUCUGGGAAAGUUUUGAAAUUUCUCGAGCUUCAAGCAAUUUUGCAGCAGAGUGCUGUGUGAUUAGAUUUUUUUAGAGAGAGAGAGAGAGAGAGAGAAAUUUAGUAGGAUUUUAUGGAAAAUGAGUGUGUGAGAACCGAUCCAACAGCAUCUGCAAAUGACCCAUUGUCAUGGAAAUUUGCUCUGGCUUCAUCUCUCUCAAUGGUGUCACACUCAAAAUUCUCUUGUCAUCUCACUCGUUUCGACUCACCGAGUCAUUCGUAUCGCCGUACGACCUUGACCUCCUCAUCCCCCCUCCAUUUUCAUAAUAGCGAUCUCGCUCUCCUCCACACUCAUACUCGUAAUUUCUCGGCGGCGGAGACCUGAAAUUCGAAGACCCGUCAUACGAGCCACCAGAGCUUUGUUGAUCUUCAGCACCAAGACUACCGCCGAUGCCGCCGCCGCUCUUCCUCUCGAGUGCGCUUUGUCCAUAAAAUCUGAUAGAUUUAGGAGGCGGGUCCCCCUCCGAGUCGUGUACACGAUCUUGUCACCGAGCAUCGAGCAUUUUACGGUGGACCUGGAGGAGAGGAGAUGAGGGUUUGGUGGGUUGGUGCAGAGGAGAGAAUGAAGGGAUAAGGGAGGAAGGGAAGCUCGAGAGAGGUAGAAGACGACCAAAAAACAAUUUUUGUUGAAUUUUUAAUUUCCACAUGGACUCCUUAAUGACAUGUGGCAUCCAAUCAUUGUCUACAAGGGUGCCAUGUCAUCAGUUAACGGAAAACUUAACAGUCAGACUAAAUGAUGUAUGAGACUGUCCCAAAAUUAAUACUUUAGGUAUGACUCUGGGAUGAAAUGAACUUGAUGUAUCAAAUGUUGAAAACCACAAAACUUAAGGGUAGUAAACUGAGAUUUACCCAAAUAAAUAUUACAAAUUGUGAAAUCAACAUCAUCAUUCCAUAAAAUUAGAAAGAAAGAAAAAAAAACUUAGAAAAAUCCCCAAAAAUCAGUGGAAAAAAAAAGGAUAAAGAGCAAGAAUUGAUCGUCGCGCAAGAAAAAAAAUGAAGAUAUGAAAAUUGGGACCCAGCAACACUACAUAAGAGAAAUGAUGCAACCCAUCAUCAUCUUUAUUCCGAAUUAAUGCGAUCCAUCAGCGAAAAUUGAAGAAAAAAUGAAGAGAUGAAGGAAGAAGAUAAAGAAAACAAAGCGGCUAGCAGGCAAUGAAAGGAAGAGAGAGUCAGAGGUCGCUGAUUUGAAAUCCUAGGGGGUGAGGUGGGAUUCUAUUUGGUCUUAAUUAUAUUAUACUUCUUGGUCUCAAAUCUCACAAAAUCCAUAACUUAAUAAAAUCCUAUAAAAUCUUUAAAUUUUUAAUAAUCCUGGAUUUUGGAUGGACUCUAAAAAUGUCUAUUAAAAUCUCAAUUAACUACACUAGGAUUUUAAAGUCUUUUAAAAUCCUCUCAAAUCUGAGUUUGACUACAUCCCUUAAUCAUAUAUAUUGGAAACCUUUAAGGGGAAGGGAUCUCUAUUUAAAAAAAAAAAGGGAAUUAGUUGUGGAGUCCACAAGACAUCAAACUUUAAUGAUCCAAACAAUCUAUUUUUGAAGUUGCACCUCAUAGAUCAUCCUUGCAAAGUAUUAGCCAAAUUGAAAAUGUUUAAGACACCUAAUUUGAGUUCAAAGAAAUUAAUGAAUACUUUGUUAUAUAAGAAACAAUGAAAUUUUAUCUUGAUAAUUAAAUAGGCAAAUGGUUUUGGAUUGAAUUGAAUUUUUGUAAAGAUGAUCUAUAAAACAAGACUUACAAAAUAGACGAUUCAGAUCGUUGAAGUUCGAUGUGGAGUGGGCCCCACACCUAAUCCCUUUUUUUUUUUAAAUGGGGAUCCCUUAUAUCUCUCUCUCUCUCUCUCUCUCUCUCUCUCUCUCUCUCUCUCUCUCUCUCCCUCUCUCUCUCUCUCUCUCUCUCUUCUUCUACAUUAACGGGAAUGUCAAAAUGAUAAUCAUAUAUGUAGACAAUAUCAGAUUGAUCAUAUAUUAUUGAACAUGGACUAUUGUGAAAUGAUUACCAUCGUUUUCAAAUGCCCUUUGUCUGGAAAUGAAGGAUUUUAGCUGUAAAUCUAUGGUCACUAUAAAAAUUACCAUUUGCCUGACUAAGAUUAGCUCGACAGAAGGUAUUUCAUCGGGUAAUUCCACUUCGCUCGACGAAAAAUAACUCUUAGUCGGGAAAACGUGAUCAACGCUUUGGUUUUUUAGAGGCUUUAAGCGAGGGAACAAUUUGGUGGGGCAAGUCUCAGGUCGUUAGGCAAACAUUUGGCGCCAAAGGUGAAAAAAAUGGUGCGAAACCAAUCAAAUCUUUCCCAACGAACUUUUAAAGUUCUGUCGCGCAAAAGGCUUAGUUAGGUCUUAGCCUUAAUCAAGUUUCAGGGUUUAGGGUUUCACAGUGACCAACCUUUCCCGACAAACUUCCAUCAAACUACCACUACUAUUUGCUUCAAUUAUGAAGGUUUAGGGAGUAGUAUUGGUGGUAAAAAUCAGAGGAAUGAGUGGAAGCCAAAUGUGGGAGUUCGCAGCGCUCAACUAUAAGAUUUGUAAUGGUAAUAUUAGAACUACUAGUUGGAAAGGAUAUCAGGAUCACUAUGUGGAAUACUUGAGUAAUUUCUUUUGCCGAAGAAGGUGAUGACGAAAAGUUACUCAGAUGACUUGCAUGUGGUCCAUGAAGAGGAUAUCACCGUCAUGAUAAAAAAAUAUCCCCAACAAACGCCACCUUCAAUCCCUACCGUUGGAUUAAUCUCCAUAACUACUUUAUAAACACCCCUUCUUCCUGCAUUUUUUUGCUUGCUCAAAUCCACUGUUCUGGCAAAGUCUAAUUCCUCUAAAAAAUUUAAAAUUUCUCUUUUUUCUUAGUCCUUUUUUGUAAUGGAUCCCAAACUUUAAACCCUAUAGCUACAAAAUUAAUUUCAAUAAUCCAAUUGUCAAAAAUGUUUGCAUAUACUUGAGAUAUCCUAUGCCAAAAAUCACAAAAAAGAAAGUUCAAAGAUUAGGUAAUAGACAAAAUUAUUCGACUUUUAGAAAUGAAAAAUCACGAUUUAAUGGUCAUUUUAACUCCGAUUUGGUUUUGCAAAUACAAUCCUCAACCCUAGCCAAAUAUAAUAAACUCUAAAUGUUUUGGAAUCCAUUCUUUUGACGAUAUACACAUUCUACGAAACUAGUUUUCAUGACAUUCAAAACCUUUGCCGACGAGCAUUCUGCGAGGCAAAGGGCUUAUAUGUUAUAACCCCCAGACCCUUCUUCUUUUUUCCUCCUCGCGCCAAUUCUGUAGAAUCUCUCUCUCUCUCUCUCUCUCUCUUAUGUGAAAUUGAUUUUUAUUUUAAUUUUCGAUUUCGUGUUUUUUUAUUUUUUAUUUAUUUUUUCAAUUUUGUGAUAAUCUCUGUGCAAUGUUGAUAAUAUUGAUAAUUUGUAGGAUUUGGGAUAACCUUGUAGGAUUUUUGUAGUUGUUUUUAUUGUUUUUGGUAAGGUGGUGGUGGAGUGGGGUGGGGUACGACGGUUGUGGGGUGGGUACCAUGGUGGUGGUUUAGAGGACGGGGUGUGGGUGGGUGAGUGGUUACGGGGGAAGUUUUAGGUGGGAGGGUGGGUGGUGAGGGUGGCACGGGUACGGUGGCGGGGGAUGGGGCUUAGGGCUUAGGUGGUGUAUGGUGGUGGUGGGGUGGGGGUUUCUAGGUUUAGUGCUUAGAUGUUCGUAGGUGGUGUUAGGUGAGGGUCUUGGGGUAGUAAAUUAGGUUGUAAAAUUUUGAAACUUUUAGGUGGUAAAUUUGGGAAAUUGUGAAAUUACGAAAUUGCAAAAAUUGUUAGAUAGUGAAAUUGUGAUUAUAAGGUGGUAAAAUUUAGAAAUAUGUGAAAUUGUAGGAAGUUUAGGAAAAUUUGUGAAGUUUGUAGGAAAAUAUGAAAACUUUGUGAAAAUUUAGAAAUAUGUGAAAUGAAGUAACGUUAUAAUAAUUUGUGAAAUGUAGUAAAGUUAUAAUAAUUUGUGAAUUUGUUUAAAUUUGGUUAAAUUUUAGAAAAAUGUGAAAUUGUAGGAAAUUUAUGAAAUUAUGAUUUUUUUUUUCAAAGAUGUCUUCACGCUUGAUCACCAAUAGUCGUCGCUCAACUUCGGCCCCUACUUAGAGUGAGAGGUUAGCUGCUAGCACCACCCAAGCAGCUAGCGGGACCUACACGCAAGGUCGAGUCGGUUUCCAGUGCUAGUAGUUUUGCGCCAUUGGAGCAAGUGGUCGGAUCUUCCAAGAGCCCUCAUAGCUACAGAAGCCACGAGCUUGUGGCAGCCCCAACUCAUCCCACCCUUCUCAGGGCAGCCUGAUAGGAGCAUAUUUAUACGACUUAGUUAGCUUGUUUCUUGGCAUUUAUGUUGUUAGUUCGUAGUUAUUUUAGUAUUUUAAGCUAUUUUCGUGUGUUUGUAGGUCUAAAGGGUUAAUGUGGCAAAUAAGUGCAUUUUGGAGCAUUUUGGAGCAUUUUUAGGCAUGGAAUGGAUGGCAUAUGCUUGGAGCAAAAGGAAUGGACGAAAUUUGAAGUUUGUGCAUUAUCCUCUCCCUAUAAAUAACCAUUUUAGCACACUCAUUUAACCCAACACACACAUUCACCUACCACUACAUCCACUCAUUUCACCCAACACAUUCACCUACCACUACAUCCACUCAUUUCACCCAACACAUCCAUUCUCCAAACAUCCAUCCAUUAUACCCAUUACAUCCACUCAUUACCAAACACUCAUCCACUACACCCAUUACAUCCACUCAUUACCAAAUAUCCACCCACUACACCCAUUACAUUCACUCAUUACCAAACACUCACCCACUACACCCAUUACAUCCACUCAUUACCAAACACUCAUCCACUACACCCAUUACAUCCACUCAUUACCAAACAUUCAUCCACUACACCCAUUACAUCCACUCAUUACCACAACACUCACCCACUACACCCAUUACAUCCACUCAUUACAACUCAAUACACUCAUCUCCCUAGCCUAUAAAUACAUCCACCCUUCACCAUAAUUAAGGGGCCAUCAUCCAAAGACACCACAUCAUCUACACAACUCUCCAUCCUUCACCAUAACUCACCUAUAUCCAUCCACCACCACAAGAGACCAUCCAUUCACCACUCACACCUUGGUGCCGCAUAUUUGCAAGGAAGGAGGAUUGCUUGGAGUUGUGCUAGUCAUUCAAUUUGGAUUGCUGGAGCAUUCUAGGUGUAUUCUACUUUGGUUUUCAAUGUUUAAUUUCAAUUGUUUCUGUUUAAUUGCAAGUAUGAGGAACUAAACCUCUUUUGGCUAGAGGAGAAUUCGAAACCAUGAAUAUAUUUGCAAUAUGAAUUGAUUUCUUCCAAUUGUGAUUUGAUAAGUUGUGAUUGCAAUUCAAUUAUCUAUUUUAUUCAUAACGGAUUUGUGUAUGUUUAUUAAGGAUGCAUACUUAGUUUUCAUGCAUGAAUUUGAUGCUAGGAUAUAAAUAAGUUUCACCUAAUCAUUACAAGUUUAUAUUCAUGACUACUGAAGGUUGCUUGUCACAAUCGCGUUAAUUGAAUUCUUGGCAAACGUAUCAUGCAUUCAUAGUUACAAUUGCCUCGUCAACGCUUAUGAUUUUCAUGGAACUUAAUGAUCUUUAAUUGUAUCUGUAUUAUGCAUUCAUAUAGGGGACUUUUAGAGAAUGAUUUGGGUUGUCGCAUGCAUUCAUCCAAUUCAAUGAGUAAAGGAAAAUCUGAGGGUUAAUUUGUGCAUCACGGUUAAUCUGGGGUGUUGAGCAUCAUAGUUUAUUGAAAAGCAAUUGGAGAUUGAUUUGUAUGCAAGUGUGUCAUGUGUGGAGAAAGACAUUCUAGCUAGCCCAUCAUCCAUCCAAAACAAACAAUUUCAUGCAAAUCUGUUUAGUUCUAGUUUCUGUUUUGUUUUACUUUAUUUUCGUCCAAAACCCAAUCCCCCUUUACUUUAGUGUGUCUAAUUAGUUAGAAUCUGUUUUAGUUUGUGUUUUUAAGUGUUUUGAGUCUAUAGAGUCUAGUUAAGUGUUUUUAAUUUUCUUUUUGUAAGUCAGUUUAGUUUAGAUUAGCAAUCCCUCCUAAUCCCCGGUCCAGAACGAUCCCUACUUGCAUUUUUACUACAAUUUGACAACAAGAGGGUUUAAUUUGAGUGCUUAACUUUCAUCGCAUCACAGCCCUAGUAGAGAGGUCGAUUCGGCGGUCGUACAACAGGUUAGGACGAAGACCUCUACACUUGGCCGAAAAGCAAAAAAAACAAAAAAAGGGAAAUUUGUGGAGGGUUGGCGAGCAACUGAAUCACUCAGAUCACACAAAAGCGGAUCCGGGUUGAAUACCUCUCGAGUCACUGAUGAGCGAAUGAAAAAGCCAACAGUUUGUUAAUUCACGACAUAGGUUCCGUCAUCUGCACCAAAUGCCUUUUAAUCCCCGUUUCUCGGAAGACGCAUAGCUCCAAGGUCCGUGCCGAGAUGGACAAACUGCUCUUAGUAAGUGUACAACUUUCUUAAUUAAUUAAUUUUUUUUCUUUACUUUUUAAUGUGGUUUUAAACUAAAAAAUUAGGAUUUUUUUUGGGAAUUUCAGGCCAAUUUCGAGUGGCACAUGGUGGACAAUGAUUGUGUCAAGUACAUAGACUGGUUAUGGAGGGAACGGUAUAAGAAGUGGAAGUACCGGCUGCAUAAAUACUAUUAGACUUGUGCGUCACCUAAGGCAGCUCCUAAAGAUCCACCUGAGGAGUUUGUGGAGAGGAUGGGCUAGUGGAAUUGGCAGUGCACUCAUUUUCAGAGCAAAAAUUUCAAGUAAGUUUUAUUUAUAUUUUAAUUUCAAUUUUUAUGUUUUUUUUAGUCUAGUUUAAUUAAUAUUUUUUCAAUUUACAUAAAAAAAUUGGCAUCAAAUAAAGGUAACUGGGAGAAGAAGCCGUACCUUCAUCACUCCGGUUCUCGACCCCUAUCUUACCGGGUCAAGGAACAAUGUGCGACUAGUUCACAUUUCCCAAAGGUGGAGGUUUUGGGGAAAACACAUUCAAAUUAUGGCAACCAGGCCGCGAAUGUCUUUUUUGUAAUAUUUCAUUCUAUGUUUUAAUUGUAAAUUUCAUUACAAUAAAUAAGGUUUAAAUUAUGAUCGAUAAUCUUAAUUGCUUUCCCCUGUUUUUUUUUAGGCUUUUAUGUUGCAGAAGAAGGACGAGUACCUCAUCAAUAUCUCCCAGCAACAACUAGAUGUGCCUAUAAAGGAGCUAACACCUAAUCCGGACUUCAACAUGUGGAGAUGGAGUUAGCGUGCCAAAGAGAAUAAGCUAAGCUCCAAAAAGAAGCAACGCCUCUGGGAGAGGCUUCAACGCACGACCGAGAAUUAAUGCGCAUGUACUUUACUUUGCUAUGGUGACCCAAUCCUUGUCAGCUUAUGGCAUAAGCAUUCCCGAGUCCUCAACCGACCUUCAGAAGUCAUUCCCCUAGCUACCCCAGCACCUACCCGAGUAGUUUACUUUUAUUUAUUUAGUUUUUUUUUUAACAUAAUUGUAUGAACAAUUUUAUUUGAAUGUAACUAAAUAAAUUUUUUAAAGUUAUCAACAAUUAUAGCUUUCUAAAUUAAUUUAUAAAUUAAAUAGUUAUUAUAAAUAUUUUUUUUCAUCAUUUUCUAAAAAAUAAAAAAAUAUAUUAGCCCGAAGAACUAUUUUGUCGAGCAAACAUUAUGUUAUUUUAGCUCACUCCCUUAAUGUAAAUAAUAUCGUAUGUUAAAAGAAAAAAAAUGUUUGGUUUCAUAGAGUUGGCCUGAUGAAGUUUUUGUUGGGUCAAGUUUACAACAUUAUUUAAUUCUAUGCGGGCAGCGGAAUAUCCUUGUCAGGCAGGUUAUUUGAUCGGGUCAAUACGGUCAACGCACGUUUGCGCGACGAGUGUAUUCGUCAAGCUAAAUCCAUUUCACCCGGAGAAAAUGAAAUCUCGUCUAGUAAGGCUUCGAGUGAUUGGUUUUGAAAUCAAUUGGCAUAGUCCGACAACUUCACUGAGAUUGACCAUACUUGUUCUAGACAAGUAAUCAAAGAGUUUCCUAUAAUCUUAGAGUCCUUAUAAUCUAAGGAUUGUCAUGCGCCACAAGUAACCACUCCUAAGAGGAUGCAAUAUCUACUUCCUAGAUAUCCUCUAGGAUUGUCUUCAUUUAAUAAGGAUUCUACUAUCCUAAAAGGUCAUCUUCUCGACUCGUAUAAAUACACCCUUCUAGGGUUCUUCUCUAUUAACGCAAUUCCUGCACGCUUUGAGUCUUAAUAUUGCUUACAAAUUUGACCGUUGAAGAGCCUUUGAUCGGCACCCCCCAGGUCUUUGGCUUACACAUGGUUGUGUGUUCUUUUACAGGUAAACGAGUUUAAGCAUUUCCACCACUUACGGCGGUGUGCAAAUUUGGUUUCAACAUACAAGAAAAUGUAGUAAAUGUAGCAUUGUGUUUUGUUUCCUACAAUGAUUGGUGCAUCCUUUUUUCUUUGACGUUUUCAAUUUUGUUUUCAAAAUAAUUAGCUGACAAAAUGACUUAGUGAAUAACUGAUUUUAUUUGCGCGCUUUGUUUGUAUCUAAAACAUUUAUAAUUAACAAUGAGACCCCAAAGUUCAAAUCUUGGAUUCAUCGCUGGGUUUGAGUAUUAAGCUGUAUUUAGACAAAUGAAAUUGAAAUGUGAAUGAAUUAGAAAUCAAGCAAUAAUAGUAUUGUACAAGCUUGGUUGAAUGGAAAUUUGAAAUGAAAAUUAGUUGAAAAUAAUCCCAUUGCGUUGCAUACUUGGAGUUUGAAGAGACAUUAGAGACAUUCGGAGUUUCAAAAAGUGAGACCUCAAAAAUUCAAUAUGAGCGGCACGUCUAGAAAGUACGGAAAAUUCUAAUGCGAGGAAAUUAACCAUUUGAUUUUCAAAGGAUGAUGGAGUUUUUAGCGAUGAAAUAUUUGUUCCUACUCAAACAUUUUAUUCGCAAAGAUGUAUUUCGUCAUAGAAUAUAUUUUUUGGCCAAACAAUAGAAUUAUUAGAUUAGUUAUUAAAUUAGAGAGCCGACGGGGUUCGAAUUCACGUCGUGAUGCAAGAAAAACACUAUUUUUCACUAAUAUAGUAGAAGACCACUUGUUUUCGUCAUAAAAUAUUUAAUUUCUACGUUGUUUUUUUAAUCAAAAUAGGAGAGAAUCAACUUAUAUGCUGGCGAGAAAACGAUAGUUUCCUCGCUGAAAGUCUUUAGGCGUGGGAAAUAAUCUUACAUUAAAAAACUCUCCAAUAAGUCAUCGUAUGCUAAUCAUGUUAUGGUGUUUUGGCUCAAUAUUUUCUAGGCAUAUAUGGUUUUUAAUGGUUGGUUGAAAAAGUAUAGAGAGGGGAGGCUACCUCAUCCCAAAGUCAAGGUAUACUACAUGUUUCUUUAAGGACUUAGGCCAUCUCCGGGGGUAGAUAUAGCCCUGUGUAGAACUAUAGUCCUGCAAAAAAUUAUUUUUUUAAUGAACAAUGUCACACCAUAUUCAUAUAUCAUCUCCAACCGAAGAGACAAAGUAUAGCUGCCUCAAUAAUUUAUUAGUUUUAAGUUAUUAUUUAUAUUUAUUAGUUAAUUUAAUUAAAUUACUAUUUAUACCAUAUUAAAAUAAGAUUACUAAUUAAAUUACUAUUUAUAUUUUUUUGUCGCAUGUCGUCAAAUGGGUAUGAAAAGAGUGUUUAAGGUAAACAGUAUGUGAAAAUUUGAAAUAAAAUAAGAUAAGAUAGUAUGUAAGAAAAAAAAAUUAAUAGUAAAAAUUCAAGAUAAAAUUAACAAACACAGCAAAUUAAGGAGAAAAUUAAAAAAAUCAUAGUAAAAGUUCAUAUUGGUAACUUCGUGGGGUCGCAAUGAACUCAACAACUCAAUGCCCCAAGGAGCCAAAGCUCAAGCCAUAGUGACUCUGUGGGGUCAUCUACUUUUUCAAAGUAGCAUGCCAGCUGACGGUACUAUGGCUAAAAGUUUUGCAAGACGCUUCAAGCAAACAAAGUUUUAAGAAAAAUAAAGAUGGAGCAAAGCGAAGAAAGAUGUCAAUUAGCUAAAAGUUCUAUAAGACGCUUUAAGCAAACAAAGUUUCAAGAAAAACAAAGGUGGAUUAAAGGAAAAAAAAACAAUCUAUUAAAUUUCUAGCAAGUUAAUAAACUUGCACGAAGGUCGUCAAAAUUUGACAUAGGCUAAACAAAAUUGACUGCUCAUUAGCAGCUUGGAUGAUCUUAAGCUCUCCAGCAGCUAUCCCGUAUUCAUUAGCCACUUCGCACUCGUUUGCUCGUCUAACACUUCAUCUUCACUCCGAUCUUGGCAUCUUCAACUGUUCCAUUUACAACAGUUGAGCAAUCAAACUCGAGCAGUUCCCUCAUUUUUUGGUGAGCAUCAUAGACAUAGCAGCAGUGGAAGGAGCAGGCUUUGACGCUUCUUUAACAGCUGAAUCCACUUUUCCAAGUGAUAGACUUUCCUCCCCACUUCUCAUAGUGGUGAGCCUUUCAGAAGCUCAUCUAGACUUAACCACAACUGGAUACUUAACUCUAUCUCUGGACCUAAACGUUGGAAACAGUUUGAUGUCAGGCUUUCCAAAAGUAGCAGAGUCUCACGAGCAGCAGAAUGACUUCUUCUCAACUGAAUGUCUAACAAGCAAGCUAACUUAUCAGCAAGGCUCUGCACCUUUUUCACAGCCUUUUCCCUGAGCUCUUGGCCCAUACCAACUAGCUGCUACAUCACCUACAUUAGCUCCUCGAGUUACCUACUUGCACGACAACCUUCUGGUUGCCCUAACACCAUCAUCGGCACCUGCCGAGCCAUUCUAUCGAGUCCCAAGGAUCCAAAAAAUAAAGAAGAAAAAAUUUUAAAAUUUUCUUAUCUUGGCACCACGUGUAGAUGAAAAACGACGACGACAAUCACUCUUCGUAGGAGCAAGCAAAGAAGAAAACUAGAAGAAGCGUUUACAAUAUCCUAUAGCUUUUUUUUUUUGUUGAAAUAUCCUCUAGCCUUUUCUCUCUUUCUUGUAGGGAUAAAAUUGUUCUACAAGUUUAUUUAGCCCUCUGCUUAAGACAGGCUUAAGUAAGUCUUGGUGGCAAUUGGUCUCACUUUCCUAUGAAGACUCUAUUUCCAAAACAAGGUAAAAGAUCAACAUCAAAUUGGGAAAAACAAUUUUCUGCACACCUAGCAACUUGGGAUUUCUACACCUACUACCAUUUUUUGCUUGCAGCCCAGCAGGUGUGAGGGCAUAUGCUGAGCCAAAAAUAAUCCUAAAAGUCUAGAAGACGAUGCAUGGACUUUAUCUCAAGAAGGACAAGAUCGUCCUCAUUAAAUGGUUAGGGCUCUUAAAUACUACCACGUGCAACUCAGCAUCCCUAAAGGUCCAAGAGCAUCCCUAAAGGUCCAAGCAAAUGACUACGAUUGCUUAAAGCUCCCCUGUUCGUGCAUUGAAAAGUCAAAAGUAUUAAAGAUAAGGAUUAAUUACUAAAUUCUAUCUUUAAUACAAUCUCAAUUGAACCUCAACUCAAUCAAGUAAUGAAUCCCUAUCACUAUCAAUUAGGGACACUUCCACCAUUUGCCCAAUAUAUUUUCUCCUAAUUAAUAUCUUGGGAAUAUUAUUUCCUCAUGCAUUCAAAGGAUGACACACCUUGGCAAAUAGGAUGCCACCAUGUUUAGGGAAAAACCUUAACCCCAUGGUUGGCCACCUCCUCCUAUAAAUAACUCACUCUUUUCAAAGAAACUAACUUAGGCAUCAGAGAUCCAUUGGCCAAACUCUUCCCUCACCUCAAGGGCGCGUGAAGCUUUGGUCUUUGAUUAAAUGUGUUGAUUGUUUUGUAGGGACAAAUUCAUCAAGACUGAAGACGGUGGAUUUUUUUACCACAAUAGAGAGUCCCACUUUUGAGAGUUUCCUUAGUAUUUCUCUAAAAUAAAAAGCCUUUCUAGGGCUUUAGGCCAAAUCACAAACACGGGGAAGAGUUCCCUCUUUUUUGGAGCCAAUGUCUCGAAGAAAAUGAAACGAAGGUUGCUUGGCUUUUUAAUAUAAAAGCUAGGGAUGGGUUUGGGAAAUACUUAGGGCUUCAAUCAGACUUUGGGCUCUCUAAGAAAGUAAUUUUGAAAAUGUUCGUAGAAAAACUUGAAGGUAGAAUCAACGGGUGGGCUAAGCAUUUUCUCUCAAUGGCAGGCAAGGAAACUUCGAUCAAGGUAGUUGUUAUGGCACUGCCUGCUUAUCCCAUGUCUUGCUUCAAACUCUCGUACGUUUAUGUAAGGAAAUCAAAAUUCUGUUGGCGAAUUUCUGGUGGUGUGUCAAGAUGGCGAGAAGGAAGUACAUUGGGUGUUAUAGGGGAAGUUAACAUAAACGAAGCAAAGUGGUGGUCUUGGAUUCUGGAAUUUACUAACUAGAAACUCUAAUUGCAAAAAUUUUGUAGGAAAAAUAUCAUUCAGGGCAACCUUUCCUAUCUACAAAGAUUGGAAGGAAAUCCUCUUGGGCCUAGAAAGUGUCAGAAUCUGUAAAAGUUUGAUAGUAUUUGCAGCAAUUCAAAUCAGAGAGGAAGAGCUUAGAGAGAAGGAAAUGAAGAGACAGAUGAAGAAUGAUCAAAAUCUCAGAGAGAGCCAUUGUGCUCUUCUACGUGUGUUUUCAUUUCAUCACAACAAUACAAAAAUAACCGUUAGAGACGGAGAGAAUCUAGGAGAGCCUAUGAGUCAUCCAACCCUUCAUUAUAAGAACUUAUGAGAUCUUUCCACUUGCUCACAUCUGAGCCUUAAUACAUUAAGAGCUAAUCUCAACCAUUGAUUUCUAACAACUUAUUUUCACGAAGUCUAACAACUUGAUAAAAUAAAGAAAAUGACAGUUUAGACCUUAAUCAAUCAACAUUCCCUUCUAAGGUCUUAACUGAAAUUACUCCAAGCUUAUCCCUCAAGUUACAAAAUCUAUUUUUAGCUAAACAAUGUCAUCCACAUAUAUGGAAACAAUCAUUGUUCCAUGUCCUUCCUUAUGCUUCAUAAAUAGAGUACCUUCACUAGGAUUGUUUUCAAACCCACAUUGCAGCAAAUAAGUGUCAAUGUUGCUAUACCAAGCUCUAAGACCUUGUUUUAGCCCAUACAAGGCUUUCUUCAGUUUAUACACCUUAUGUUCCUCUCCCUUGACAAUGAAACCAUUAAGUUGGUCAAUGUACACCUCUUCUUCAAGAACCUCAUUCAGAAAAGCAAACUUUACAUCUAACUGAAACAAUCUCCACCCUUUCUGAGCUACCAAUGCAAUGAGAGUCCUUAUAGUGUCCAAUCUAGCCACAAGUACAAAAGUAUCAUUAAAAUCAACUCUAUGCUUUUGAGUGUACCCUUUGGCAACUAGUCUUGCCUUGUGUUUCUGUAUAGAGCCAUCCAAAUUUAAUUUGGUCUUGAAAAUCAAUUUUACUCUAACAAUGGGCUUGUCACUUGGUCUAUUAACCAAUUCCCAGGUGUCAUUCUUCUCAACAUAGAGAUCUCAUCCUUCAUUGCUUUCUUCCAAGCAUGAUCUUGAGAAGCUUCAUUGUAGUUUUCAGGAUCAAUGACAUUGAGUCUACACUGAGCAAACAUCUCAUUCAAAUUCCUCCACUUCUUUGGUGUGUUAUCAUAUGUCUCAAUGACUUGGAUUCCACACUCUCGAUUCACAGUUUUAGAAUCAACUUUGUCCACAUCAAGUGGCAUUAUCAACACAUGUGUUUGGAGAUUUCAACUUAGAGGCAUAUAUGUUAGACCCCUCACAUGCACCAUUUUCAAUCUCAGUUAUACUCACACCUUCAUUUGCAUUUGAGUAGGGCAAAUGGAUAUGAAUUGUCUCCAUAUUCUCCCAAUUAAGCAAAACACCUUCAUCAAAGAUAACACUUUUGGAAACAAUGACUUUGUUGCUUUUCAGAUCAAAUACCCUAUAGCCCUCCUCUCUUGUCCCAUAUCCAACAAAUACACCUUUCUAGUCUAUUUUAUCUAGUUUUUGCCUUAACUGAAUUGGAAAUAAGUGAAACACACAGAACCAAAGAUUGUCAAAUGUGUUACCCCUGGAUUUCUUCCACUGAACUCUUCAAAAGGAGUUUUGUUCGCUAACACUUUGGUAGGACAUCUAUUCAAAAGAUAGAUAGCAGUGUGAACUGCUUCACCCCAGAAUUUAAGAGGUAGCUUCUUUCUUUCGAUACCAUGUUAGAGUCUGUAAAAGUUUGAUAGUAUUCACAGCAAUUCAAAUAAGAGAGGAAGAGCUUAGAGAGAAGGAAAUGAAGAGAUAGAUUGAGAAUGAUCAAAAUCUUAUAGAGAGCCAAUGUGCUCUUCUGCAUGUGUUUUCAUUUCAUCACAACAAUAAAAAAAUAACCGUUAGAGAAGGAGAGAAUCUAGGAAAGCCUAUGAGUUCAUCCAACCCUUCAUUACAAGAACCUAUGAGAUCUUGCCACUUGCUCACAUAUGAGCCUAAUACAUUAAGAGCUAAUCUCAACCAUUGAUCUGAAUUCGCACCCGUUGUUUGCAACCCGAACCCAUAUGUGCAUUGCACUCGGAGUCACCUCUGCAGUUUGCACUUGCUCUUGUUUUGCGCAAAUUGAAGAAAGACCCAUGAGGAAGAAAAAAGUAAGAGAGAAAACGAAAAUUGGAAGAGAGAAAAAGAAAGAAAAAAAAAGAGAAAAGCAAAAAAAAAGGAGGAGGAAAAGAGAAGUUUGUCUAUUUUGAGUUUUUUGGGCCACGUGGUUGUGUGGCUCACAUUGGAUGAUGUGUGAAUGGUUAUAGUUGUUGUCUGGCUUGCAACGAUCGCUCGACUGCUUGGACUGGUGACCACUCAAGUGACAUUGAGAAUGUGGUAAGUUGAAUUUUUUUUCUUGUUUGUUUAGGUUUGUUCUUAGGCUUGACAUUGGCAUUGGGGAAGUUUGCACUAGCAUUGGUACUGACAAUGGAAUCUUGCACUUACAUGGAUGGAAUUUUGUAUUGGAAUUGGCAUCAGAACUUAGCAUAACGGAGCUUACAUCCACAUCGUAUGUUGGCAAACUCAUUUCGUGUACCACCAUAAGUUUGACGGGGGGGGGUGUUGGGAAAUAUUAGUAUUUAGGUUUAUUUUCAUGUUUGGUUCCUAUUCGUAUUAGGUUUCGUUUCCUUGCCUAUUAGGGUUAGACUAGUUUUCUAUAUAUAUAGUACCUUGGAGUUUUAUAAGUGUUUCGACAUUCUUGUUUGUUUAAUAAUGUUUUAAUAAUUUAUAAUUUUAUUCGUCGCGCACUCUGAUAUUUAACUAUCAUUGAAACGGAUGCGAAGCUUAUAUGCAAGAUGAUCAAUAAGGAGUUGAAAGUGGAUUCAAAUGUGGAGUGUAUUCUCCAUGACUUAUAGUCUAUCCUGAACUCUUUUAGAUCCGCCAAAGUUGUUUUUUGUCACCGGAUUUGUAAUAAAGCUGCCCCAUGUUGCUCAAUUUUUUUUUCAAGAAUGAAGGCUUCCAUAGCUGUUAAAAAAUAAAAUAAAAUACAAAGCCUUCCUAGGUAUAGAAGGAGGAGCUACGGAUUAAAGAAUUUGAUGUGCAGCAAAGGGUUCGAUAAAGACAUGAUACAAGGAUUCGAAUUUUAUCCAUUUUAUAUAUUUUUUUUUUUUUCUGUUUGAAUUUUUGGAAUUUUUUUUAUUUCCUUUUUCCUAGAGGUUACAAAUUCUAAUGGCCGGUCCUGAGUACAUUAUUGUAUUUCAAAUUUUUACGACAAAAACACCCUAAAUAAUUUGGAUAUUUGCCUCCACACAUGUAUAACGUUGUGAAAUCAGCUUGAUUGACGUGGUAAUAAAGUUCCAACUGCAUCUUUCCUUAAAAAAAAAAAGGAAAGAAUUGUGUACCAUCCAGAAACGAAUCAAAGGGCAUCGCCAUUAGCACAAGUUUCCAUAUGUUACGUCAUCUUUUGCUUUCUCUAUGACGUCAUAAUCCACUGAAACAAUUUUUUAGGUGCAUAAAACUGUUGACAUCGAAUUUAGUGGAGUGUUGAUCAACUUACAAUAUGAAUGCAUGAUAUGUGUUAAAGCGGCGCGACUUUGUGUCUGAUAUUCUUUUUCAAAGUCUUUAUUUGAAUAGAUUUUAGUCUCUGAUCUUUUUUCUCUUUUUUUUUUAACGAUUUAGUCUCUGAUAUUUGAAAAGAAAACAAGCGAUAUAAUUUGAUGGAACUUACUAUUUUGUUUUGAAAUUUUUUUUCUUUAUUCUUUUUUGCUUAAAUUUUGUUUCCUUCUUAAAAGAAAAAAUUACCAAAUAAGUUUUUUAUUUCCGUUUUUUAAGAAGAGUAAACUAAAAACUAAGUUGCUUAAUAACUAUUUUGUCAAAAAAAAUUCAGAAAAAAAAAUACUUAAAAAAUUGUUGUCAGCACAAGAAAGCCGACCCAAUAUAAUCCCAGCUAUGGAAGCCUUCAUUUCUUGUUCUGUACUUUUCAAGAAUGAAGGCUUCCAUAGCUGGGAUUAUAUUGGGUCGGCUUUCUUGUUCUGUACUUUCUUGUCAGCACCUGUCACACGCACACUCAGCUUUGCGGAAAUUAUGGGCAUUUUGUCGAAGACUUCUGGGGAAGUAGAAAACACAUGAAUCUUACUGUUCAAUCACCCACUUCCCACACGCAACAAUAGCUCAUGGAUACCACAGAUAACUUUGCUAAAGUUCUCUGCCAAAGUUGAGCACGUGAAGCUUGCAGCACUACAUCGCUCUGACCAAGAAGGGUAAAAGAAUAGCAAAGAAACAGCACUAACAAAGUUUAGACCCAUAAAUUUUGAAGGUCUAGCUACCAUAUUAUUACCCACAAGGGUAAAGGAACAGUACCACUGCUGGAUAAUUGGAAAGUCCCUGUGUGUCAACCUCUGUGCUUCGUGGCAAGGUAGACUAGCAAACAUGCCCAACCUUUACUCACAUUCGAGAAAACACUCCCAACAAGAUUGCUUGCUCCAAAAUCGAAGAGGCACCGUCCUCCGAAUCUCGAGAGCCAGACUCCCAACAUGAUUACUUUCUCAAAAAUCGAAGAGACACUGCUCCCCGAAUCUUCGAGAGCCAGACCCCCCAGCAUGAUUGCUUUCUCAAAAAUCGAUGAGGCAUCGUUCUCCGAAUCAAUCGAAGAGGCGCUCGCUUUCUCAAAAGCUGGGCUGCUCAGAGACCACGAGGGCCGAUCUCAGAAAUCGAAGAGGCACCUACUUUUCUAGCCUUGUCAGCACCCAUCACACGCAACAAUAGCUCAUGGGUACCACAGAUAAUUUUGCCAAAGUUCUCUGCCAAAGUUGAGCACGUGAAGCUUGCAGCUCCCACUACAUCGCUCUGACCAAGAAAGGUAAAAGAAUAGCAAAGAAACAGCACUAACAAAGUUUAGACACAUAAAUUUUGAAGGUCUAGCUACCAUAUUAUUACCCAUAAGGGUAAAGGAACAGUACCACUGCUGGAUAAUUGGAAAGUCCCUGUGUGUCAACCUCUGUGCUUCGUGGCAAGGUAGACUAGCAAACAUGCCCAACCUUUACUCACAUUCGAGAAAACACUCCCAACAAGAUUGCUUGCUCCAAAAUCGAAGAGGCACCGUCCUCCGAAUCUCGAGAGCCAAACUCCCAACAUGACUACUUUCUCAAAAGCGAAGAGAGGGUAAAGGAACAGUACCAUUGCUGGAUAAUUGGAAAGUCCCUGUGUGUCAACCUUUGUGCCUCGUGGCAAGGUAGACUAGCAAACAUGCCCAACCUGUACUCACAUUUGAGACAACACUCCCAACAGGAUUGCUUGCUCCAAAAUCGAAGAGGCACCGCCCUCCGAAUCUCAAGAGCCAGACUCCCCAACAUGAUUACUUCCUCAAAAAUCGAAGAGACACUGCUCUCCGAAUCUCGAGAGCCAGACCCCCAGCAUGAUUGCUUUCUCUCAAAAAUCGAAGAGGCAUCGUUUCCGAAUCUCGAGAGCCAGAUACCACAGACCACUUUUUCAAAGUGCUCUGACAGAGUUAAAACAUGUGAAACUGGCAGCUCCCACUACCGUGCUAUGACCAAGCAGGGUAAAGGAAUAGCAUUACUACUUGUUGUUAGGGAGACUCCUAUAUAUGUCGACCUCCAUCCCCAACGGACAGGCAGACCUGCAAAAAUGCUCAACCCUUCAUCAUAUCUGAGAGGGCACUCCCAACGAAGCCUUUCGAAAUAUUCAGCUUUCUUUCCCCCCGAUAAUACCUCUGCAAACAAGCUAUACUAGAGCAAGAAUAUCUCAUAUCAUCAGGGUUAAAAGCAAGAGUAUCCCAUAUCAUGCUUUUUCCCUGUCUUUUCCCUUUGGCCUUGUUUUUACCUGCAAGACAAGGAGAAAGAGCAAUCAGUCAGCACUUGGAAUCAGGCUUCCAACCAGGAACUGACUGCCUGGAACCCCUUACCUGAUUACUUACCUGGCAUUGCUCUCGAGUACUCAUCUUCAACAUGUUAUGUUUCCAGGGAAGAUUCCGCAUCUGCUUGAGGAACAGAUAGGGCAAGUGCGAAGGAUACAAGGAAGCAUGUGGAGACAAGCGUAACAGCACACGUGCCGAUACAUCCAUUACUCUGUCAAAAGCAAAAGUAUCCCAUAUCAGCAGGGUGGAACGUACUCUAGAUUUGAUGGACUUGUUUUGACCCUCAAAUUCUUCAGUCGGCCUUAUACUCUGGAGGAAACCAGAAAACCCUCCAGCUCAGUUCAAGAAUAAGCCUGUGGAAAGUUACUUCUUCAAAAGCAAAAGUAUCUCAUAUCAUCUCUUCUCAUUUUUCUUCUCUUUAUCCUUCAUGCUGCUGCAAGAUGGGGAGAAGGUGAACAAUCAGUCAGAGCUCUGAUUGCUUACCUUGUCUGUCACCUCUUUCAGCAGACCCCCUAGCUCGGCGACUUGGGGGACUCCUCCUACAUGGUUUGUAUCGCGCUUGACCAAGCCUGAAACUACAAGUAAGCUUCAAGUGAAAUUGAUACAUUACCUUGUGCAUCUCCACCAGUUAAAGAUACCACCCCUGGAUGGAGGAAGAGUACUUCCAGAGAAGAUGCCACAUCUACCUAUGAGACAGAUAAGGCAAGUCAAGACGACACCACACUCCGAUACUUAGAAGUUUCGUGAUUACGAGAUCAUUCUCCCACAAUAUUUCCUAAUGUCAUUUGUACUAAAUCAUUCACUUGUACUCACUAAAGGAGAGCUUGAACCUAUGUACUUGUGUAAACCCUUCACCAUUAAUGAGAAUUCUUCUAUUCCGUGGACGUAGCCAAUCUGGGUGAACCACGUACAUCUUGUGUUUGCUUUCCUAUCUCUAUCCAUUUAUAUACUUAUCCACACUAAUGACCGGAGCAAUCUAGCGAAGAUCACAAAAAGCAACCAUUUUCGCUACCUAGGAUCUAUCUUGCAAGAGAACGGAGAAUUAGAUGGAGAUCUCAACCAUAGAAUACGAGCUGGAUGGAUGAAGUGUAAGAGUGCAUCCGGCGUGUUGUGUGACCGUCGUAGGCCACUGAAGCUCAAGAGAAAAUUUUAUAGGACGGCAAUAAGGCCAGCGAUGUUGUAUGGCACAGAAUGUUGGGCGGUGAAGCAUCAACACGUACACAAAAUGGGUGUAGCGGAGAUGAGGAUGCUUCGUGGGAUGUGUGGGCACACGAGAAAGGAUAAGAUUGGGAAUGAGGAUAUCCGAGGUAAAGUAGGAGUAGCCGAAAUUGUAGGAAAGAUGAGAGAAAAUCGGCUCCGGUGAUUUGGACAUGUGCAAAGAAGGCCGACUGACGCUCCGGUUCGAAGAUGUGACUACGGGACAGAGGUUCAGGGCCGAAGGGGUAGAGGAAGACCUAGGAAAACUUUGGAAGAGACUCUAAGAAAAGACUUAGAGUACUUGGAUCUAACGGAGGACAUGACACAAAACCGAGCGCAAUGGCGUUCUAGGAUUCAUAUAGCCGACCCCACUUAGUGGGAAAAGGCUUUGUUGUUGUUGUUGUAUUCUUUUUUGCUUAAAUUUUGUUUCCUUCUUAAAAGAAAAAAUUACCAAAUAAGUUUUUUAUUUCUGUUUUUUAAGAAGAGUAAACUAAAAACUAAGUUGCUUAAUAACUAUUUUGUCAAAAAAAAUUCAGAAAAAAAAAUACUUAAAAAAUUGUUCGGUAGUUGUUUUUCAGUUAUUGGUUUCUAUAAAAUGGAAAAUGAAACCAAGAAACAGAAAGUUAUUUUUGUUUUCAAAUUUGGCUUAUUUUAGUUUUCAGUACAUUCAAAGCUAUUUUUCUUGGUCAAGGCAAAAUUUCAAUUAAAGGAUGAUCACUUAGUUGGAAAAGAAUAACAGUCACAAACAAUAUGAACAAAGGAGCACACAAGAAAACUGAUUGGGACACGGUGAAAAGGAACAAACAAAUCAACGCGCCGAAAUGGAGAAAGUCUCAAGUACUUGUCGUCGUGGUCCUCUUUCAAGUAAAUUACGAGAAAUCUUCAUGAUGUUUCGAUCCUUUGACCAAUAACAAGUCUUCCGCUAGAAAUUGAAAACACUAACCCUAAUUAAGCUCUUUGAAAUUUAUUGGGACAAAGUAACACUGAGUCGAAAAAAAACUUGUGUGGGGCUCAAUGUGCCCCUUUUCAUUGUCUUUGUCAUGCCCCCUAAUGAGAUGUUUGUCCCUCGACCGGAAAAGUUUCAAUUGCAAUUCUCAAGGUGGGAAAAGAACUUUAAUAUGGGUUGUGUUCGGGUUGGAUUUCUAGAUAUAGUCCCUCACACAGCUCUCGGGGCUCUGGCUCUUUCUUGCCUACCGAGCAAGAUCUUGCUACUUGGUGUGCUGCAAUACAAGUUUAUUGUUAGUUUGAAAGGUGCCUUUGUGGGGCCUUUGGUUUAGACCUUGAGGUUCACAAUCAAAACAAACAAGGAUCUGAGUGUGCCACUGUUAUCUUUAUAUAACAUAUUGUUGAAUAGGUGCGAAUUAGGUUGAUUACUUGCGCUACAAGUUAUUUAGACUUCUUGCUUAUCAAGGAAUUGUCACAGAUAGGUUAAGUCUGUAUAUGGUUCUUUUCUUGCCUUGUGAACAAGAACUUUUAAUUCAUAGCAUUGUAUGUCCAAAAUGAAGGGGGUUCAGGACCCUUUCCAACCGUUUCUUGAUAAAAGUUUGUUUUACUGAAACCAGGUUCAUUGACUUAUCCAAAUUUGAUUGCAGAUAAAACUUUUAAGUGUAAAACAAUGGAAAAUGAUUUAAAAACAUGAAGGAAAAUGCAUUAAACGACAUAUCUACUAUAUGUAAGUACAAACAAAAGAGAGUCUGGUAAGAUUUAACCUUGUCGGGUAAGGUUCAACUUCUUGCAACCACUUCUCUUUGUGUUUACAAGGGUUUUUUCUACUCUGGAGGAUGAAAAGUAAAAGGGUUUCACUAGAGGGAAUCAAUACUACAACAUUAGGGGAAGGUAGCAAAGCUUCUAAUCUCAACAAAAGAUGACUUUUUAUGAGGGAACUAUAGUUAAAAAGGGCCGGAUCUGGACAAAAUUCAGCUUUCUGGGUACAAACUUGUUUGUGUACGAAGUUUGUAUGUCUUUUGAUUGGUUGGGUUGAGUAUCCUUAUCUCUGGUGUCCGUCUUUGCUUUUAUAGACAAUUUGGACCGACUGUCCAAGUUUUGCCUUUAGCUGAUAUCUUUCGGAGGGCAGUGAGUCCUCGUCUAUUUACUCAUCCAUGCCACUAAAAAGUGCUUUCUGGCUAAUUGUGAGGUGUUCUUUGUUGCCCAUCACUUCAAUCAUAGGCACGUGGCCUAUGCCUUUGCUGAAAUUGCUUCCAAUUCAUCUCGUGCCUAUCAACUUGCCCGAGCUCAACCUUCUAUUUGAUUUUGCAUCUUUGGGCCUUCAUUAUCACAAAGCCUAGUGUCAAAUAUAAACCCAAAUAGGUUAAUCAAUUUCCUAAGUAAGGGAUGCUUGUUGCUUUGAUCCUUUUCUUCCAAUUAAUGUGUUAAAUCUCCCUUGUCUUCAAAGAAUUGAAAUCCCAUCACUUCAUAUUUUCUCUCAGUGGAUUAAUUGGAAUUGUACAGACUUUGGUCUUGAAAGCAACUACAUAUGAUUGAACCCAGAUUCGUUCUCUUGUUUUUUUUAAUUAGUGAGGAAUGAUUUUCUACAAACAGGAAUAUUUCUCCCUUAGUUUCAAAGAAUUGUGCUAACCAUGAUAGAAAAAUCUAUGAGAAUGGAAACAUAUAAAGAUCAUUCCCUAAUUUUUUUUUUUUAAUGAACAAUAUUAUCUACACUAAGGAUAAGGGGGAUAGGCUUAGCCUCAUCAAUGGGCUACCAAUAAUGUAGUUCAAAUUCGUCUUUGGCGAUAAUCGAACCUAAAAUCUCUCACUUACAAAUAAAAAGGAAUACCGCUAGAUUGUAGUACUAAGUAGCAUUCCCUCAAAGUUUAGUCAAACGAUACUUGACAUCGGCUCGAUAAGGGAGGGGUGAAUUCUCAGGUGGAGGAGGACUUCGGUUGGGUGAUUGGAGUCGAUUUUAAUUUUAAUUUAUCUGAUACUAGUACAAAAAAACAGUUUGUGUGACGCAGGUACCUUUGUCGCGCAAAGUCAAAAAACGUUGCCUAAAAAUUAGCCCAACAAUAAUUAAUCUUAUUCCAACUGUAGCGCUAGUAACCUACGUCACGCAAAGACACUUUGCCUAACGCAUGUCUCUCUGUCGCGCAAAACUACUUUGCGCGAUGUAGGUUAUCCAUCACACAAAGACACUUUGCGCAACGCAGGUUACUACUUUGUCACGCAAACUGUUUUUUUUUCUUUGGCAAAAAAUAGUUUUUAUUUAAUUUUUAAUAAAUAUUGUAAUAAAUUCUAAACAAUAAUUAAUAUACCAAGUAUUUAAUUAUAAAAUAUAUGAAAAUGUACAUACAAGAUGUUCGAAUAUAAAAGAAAAAACUACAAGAAGUAGUCAUCUAGGCUUGAUGCAUCAAGCUACUGGGUAUCAGUUGGGCGAAGUAGCUGGGAUGUCAAAGGUGGAGCAAGAUAAGGUGCUGGCAUUGGGAUUUGGAGGCCGGACAUCCAUAAGGCCAGUAAAAUCAUACUCAUUUUCUCGUCCUGGGCCAAAAACUACGCUGCAAUCUCGACUUCCUGCCCGAGCUGCUGCUUCGACCUCCCGUGCUACUUGUUAGGCCGCAAGUUAACCUUUUAGGGUUGCCACUUCCUCUGUCAAGGCAAUGACCUUUCCUAUGGUUGAUCUGGAAGAUGAGGCACCCGUCUCACGAACCCGCGCCUUCCCCAUACACCGAACAACCUUGCCAUGACGACGAUCGAGCUUCUGAGCAACAACAACGAGUCACCAAACUAGGAAUGCUAUAUACCACCAGAAAUCCGCUUGCAAAUAUGAUUCACUAGUCAUAACACAAAUAUCCAAUUUCUGAAAACUACUUUGAACCCAAGUCCUAAUAUUUCACGAAACACAAAAAUUAAAAUCCAAGAAAUGCCCUCAUAACCAACCAACCAUAUAUAUCCAAACCAAGUAGCAAUGCAUAUAUUUAAAUACAACUGAUUAAAACAAAUUAACCAACAAAACAACCCGUGUAAAAAGAUAAUGCGAAAACAUAGAAGCAACAAUAGAGGAAUAUUUGUACCAGUAAUUCUCUGAGAUAAGCCAACACUUAGCAAAAUCCAACAAAUGCCAAGAUACAAACAAGUUAUCCUAAAUCUAAUCAGAAGACCAGGUAUGCUCAGAUUGAGGAACCUAAGGUUAAUGCACAAGAAAAAUGAAGAGAAAUAUACUUGGAAAGGAAUAUUUACCACAAUCUAAUCACCGAAAAUAAUGCAGCAUGUUUUAAAAUUUCAACACAUGCUUAGAACAAAUUGCUAUCAUGAACACUAACAAGACUAUCUGCUAAGAGAAAAAUCAAAAUGAGAAAUCAACAAAAGAUAAACUACUUAUAUAUCAACCAGAAUUACAACCCAAUUCAAAAGAAUUGGGGUUUAACUCCAUGACCAUGUCCAUUUUGCGCUUUUGGGAAAUGACCCACUAACUGAGCAAUCUAAUUGAAAUCUAAAUUCUGAUAUCAAAAGUCAAACUACAAAUGCGCACCAUGACCAUAGAAUCUAAGGGAGAAACUGUAGAGAGAAAUAAAAAGACUUACGUCUAUCUCCGGUAAAUACCCCUAGCUUAGCAGACAAAUUUUUCUUGAACAAAUUAAACUUGGGAACCAAGUCCUUUGCAGCAGGGCCACCAUCAACACCAAAUUCAUUAAACCUACAUAUACAGAUGUGCCAUCAACACAAAGGAACAUUAUAUUGUUUUAAUGUUAGUUAGCCACUUUCGAGCAUUUUUCCGGCCAAACCAAGGCGAGUUAGCCAUCGAGAAAGGUACCGUUAUCUUCGUCUCAUCGAGAAGUAUGAGUUUUGUUUUGAAUCACUCGAUUUCGUUGAAUAUUGAAGAAGUUAUGAACAUUUAAAGUUUACCCAGUUUCCGGCGAGUUUUCCAGUUUUCCGGAGAAUUAGUCACCUUUCAGGCUAUUUUUCGACCAUCUCCGACAACCAUUGGGCUUCCAAAUAGUUGUAAUCUUGUUCUACACUUUUCUAUCUUCAUUUUGAUAUAUUAUGGGUCGAAUUUGGUUAAGAAUCGAUUGAGUCACAAAGCUUUGAAAAUUGCCCAAAAAGUUUUUAACGAAAGAAUCAAAAUCAUGGAUGGUAGACAAUCUUAGGGACCAUUUAUAUUGAUUUUGAAUCUCAUGGACCAUUUCUAUUGAUUAUGCAAAUCUCAUGGACAUUUUGGAUAGAACAUGACCAUAUUGCCAGACUUCAGUGUUUAUAACAUUUCAUAUUUUUCUAAAAGAAAAGAGGAAAAAAGAGAGCUAUUAACGAUGAAUUGGCCAGUAAGUUCUUUUAUAAUUAAUCAUGAUGGAAGGGUGGUGCUUGGCAGAAAAUCCAAAAAAGGAAAAAGAAUAUUGUUUUCGUUCCUGGCAUAUUGAUAUAAACAAAUAAAUAAGUUUUCACAUUGGAGAAGUUAAGGGAAUUAAUUCUUCAGCAAAAAGAAAAGGAGACCACUAAUUCUGAGUGUUUGAGACAGCUACUUACCACGCAACCCCCAAAGAGGAAAAUAUAUAAAAUACAGUUUCCCAGCCCAGAUUUUGGAUAAGGGGAGAAGCCAGAAGAAACCUGCGAGAAGUCCAAUGUUACAAAUGGGUUAUCAAUGAACGCGGAGUGCACAACAAAUAUAGACAUAAGAAAACCAAAUCUUAUUUAGAAUGACACCAAAAAUUAAAACAUCCUCAUGUUGUAUUCAGAAUCUCAGAUUCGACUUUUCCCUUUUCAUUUUUUAAUAUAAAUAAAUAAAUAAAUCUUCAAAAACCCCUGCAACACUUCCAGCUCGUGAACGCUCUUCCAAAGGUAUUGUCCUGCACCAGGUAAAAGAUUAUUAGGAUUCUCAAACACAAAGAAAUGGACCCGCUAGACAACCUGAGUUUGAACAAAAUAAUGCUUCAUGAACACCACCUAUGAAUCUAUGAUGGACCAAACUAAAUAUAAGAAUGUCAUACAUGCCUGGCAAUAAGGUCUGUUGCGGCAGAUGGGGAAAUGCCUUCUCUAAUUCCUACCUGUACUUCAAAGAAAACAGCUCUCAGUAACAGGUAGGUUUGAUACUCAAACCAACAAUAAGUUGGAAAUCAAGAACGAAAACAAAAGGCUAAACAAAGUUGAACUGAUUUACAAGAGUCUUUAGUAAAUAGAAUAUAUUGUAAAUGAGCGUACCAAAAUUCUUGACAAAAACUAAACCAGGUGUAAAUCCAGCAACAAGAGGGACAAGUGCCGUAGCCAAAGACCAAGUUAACACUCCAAACUCAAGAACUUUUCUGCAUAGAAGAAAAUGAUAGAUGAGCAUGCAUACCUGUCCCGGCCAAAAGAUCAAUAAACAAGCAUUUGGGGAUUGAACCAAUCCCGCCCCGGAUGAACUGCAUAGUUCUGAGUAUAAAUAAAUAACAUAAUAAAAACUUGAAACGAGCUUUUAAAAAAUAAACCUCCCACUAAAUAUCUUAGCAAGCCAACCUCCGGGCAACUGACUCAAUGCAUACCCCCAAAGCAACGAUGAUUGAACCAAUCCCGCCUCGGAUGAACUCCAUCCAAACUGGUGAUGUUCGCAUCAGGAAUUUCCGUCGGGGACGUUUCCUGGCCGACGAGCGCACAGCUCCCCGGGAGGUUGGCGCCGGUUGAGGGCUGUUGUUGGGCUUCUGCUUCACUGUCGGGCUUUGUCGGGCAAGGCUUAUCGGGCAAGACUCGUCAGGCACGGCUUGUCGGGUAAGGCUGGAAGAGAAGGACAACGUUAACUUUGAGAGGUGCCUUUGUGGGGCCUUAGGUGUAGGCCUUGAGGCUCACAAUCAAGAUUAACUUCUAAGUACUCAGGCGUGCCACUGCCAUCUUUAGCAUAGCAGAUGUAAAAUAAAUGUCACGUUUUAGUUGUAUAUAUAUAUAUAUAUAUAUAUAUAUAUAUAUAUAUAUAUAUAUAUAUAUAUAUAUAUAUAUAUAUAUAUAUAUAUAUGCCCGAGAAACCGUGUUAGUUAUAACAGGUGCCUUUGUGGGGCCUUAGGUGUAGGCCUUGAGGCUUCCCAUCAAUAACUAAACCAGUGCUCGAACAUAUAAUAUUCGUUCGAUUGAUUGCAGGAGCCUUACAACUAUUAUACUUCUUAUUAUCCGAAUAUGAGAGAUAGAACGAACCCAAAUAGGUGCCUUUGUGGGGCCUUAGGUGUAGGCCUUGAGGCUUCCCAUCAGAAUUCGUUAUUAUACUCAAACGUUCUAGACCGCGGAAUGGAAUGAAUCCAAAUAGGUGCCUUUGUGGGGCCUUAGGUGUAGGCCUUGAGGCUUCCUAUCACAAUCCAUUCCAUGCUUAAGCGUUCUAUGAUAAUCAUAAUAUAAUAGAAAUAAAACUAAGGGGUAGGUCGAUUACUUGCGCCCCAAGUAACUUCAGACUUCUUGUUUAUCAAGGACUAUCGUGGAUGGGUUAAGUCCACAUAAGGUUCUUUUUUAUGCCUUGAGGCCAAGGAUUUUCAACUGAUCAAAUUUACAUGCCCGAGGGCUUAGAACUUAGAUCUGGUUUGAACAAUGAAGAUAUAUUCAAAUCGGAUCCAAGUACUAAGAGAUUCUUUUAAUGGUCAUCUUACUAGAAAUAACUUGAAUACAACUAGAAGUAUACAACAUAUUGCUAGGCUAAUGAAUGAAAAGACAAAAACAAAGAAGGUCGGGCAAGGUUUAACCUUGUCGGGCAAGCCUGGUUGUCUUGCAGGUUCCUAUCUUUGUGGCUUAUCAAGAGUCUGAGAGCUUUUAGGGAGAGGUAAGGAGAGGAGUUUACAAAGAGAAAUCGAUACUACAGCAAGGUUGAACAGGGUAGCAGAGCUAUUACAAAGGUUUGAGUGAAGGCUUGUCCCGAGAGGGAUGAAGGCUUGGGCUGACUACAGCUUCGUUUUGAAGGCAAAUCUGGCUUUAAGCAGAGUUUGUGCUUGCAUUUGUUUGUUUGUUUGAGUGUCCUUAAUCCUGAUUUCUCUUUCUUCUUUUAUAGACAACUCAGCUUGGCCUCUUGUAGCAGCAGCCUUGCCCGAAUGCAACUUGAGAGGCAGUGACUCAUCAGCUUUUUUACUUGUUCUGCCAUUAUAAAGUACUUUAUGGGCUGUAUAGCUGGUCAGUCUAUACCACUUGGCUUUUGGGUAGGUGAGCAAGUGGUUUUCAUGAGCUGCACCAAGUCAGAAAAGCCCCUUUUCUGCUUUCUGGGUUUUGGCUGGGUUUAGGCCGGCUCUUCCUUUAGGCAUCCCUUAGGGCCAGCCCCUUUCCUGAGCCCAAAGUUCAAGUUUUGAUCCAAACAGUGCCCCCUUCAAUUGAUAUUUAGCCUGGAAUUCCAGGCGCCAAUAUUGAUUGAAAAGCUCCUUAUUAAAACCCAUGAAUUCCUUGCAUUCGAACCCUCCAAUCCCCUGUGUUCACGAUAAGAGAUCCCUCUGUAACUUAAACGUUUCCUAAUUCUCCCAGUUAUUUCUUUAAAUCUUUCAGAUUUUUUUUUCACUUUUUUGCUCGAUAUCUUUCACCCUCGUCAUCUUCUUUGGUAUCCCCCUCUCAAACUUCAUCAAAUGGCUUCGGGAUCUAGCCAAACCCAACCAUCCUACGUAUCUGGCGAAGGAAUCGUCACUCUGUGUCGUCUACUCAACGGACUGCAUCGCCCUUGGGCAGGCUUGCAUUCCGAGCUCUUCUUUGAGGUGCAUGGGGCACAAUCAUUGGGUCCCGCAUGGAUCUCUCGGGUCCCUUCAGUGGUAGAAAGCAACAUGCCCAGGGAUAAUUGGUUUUCCCCAAAUCCCUUUUUGGCUAGGUCAGGCAUCUCUUCAUCCAAAUGGUCGUCAUAUCGUCGAGGCUUUCCUCUGAUGAACAAUCCUGCUUGGGCUCAGUGGAUUGAUGAAUUAGAGCCCACCUUUAAGCAGAAAUGGAUGAGUAAUGGUAUUUACGAAUUAAUCAUGCUCUCGAAAAUUUCCAUUACUCCCAAGCCCGAAUAGCUUGCUUCUGCCCUCAUUUUCUGGAAUUCGGGCACGAAUACUUUCGACUUCCGCAUGGGCCGCAUGUCACCAACCAUUCUUGACAUUGCCCAGGUCUUCGGGUUAAGGCCAUCGGGCAGGAUAGUGGACGUUACUCAAGACUGGGUUCCUUCCUCUACCAUUGGAAGCUCAGGUUCAUCCACUACUUUCCUUUCUUUGAACUAUAACUCUGCAACUUUCAAGAGUUAUGGGACCUCCUUCAAAGGCUUCAUUCCUUUCGUAAAGGAAAAUUUUGGGGCAAGCUCUCCUCGGGUUGAUAAAGAUCAAGAGCACAUGUAUUUCCUCUUAUACUGGCUCAACAAACAUAUCUUCCCCAACAAGUCUAAAGGGGUGAGGGUUGAAUGGAUCCCCUUAGUAGAAGUUCUUCAUAAUUUCAAUGAUGUAGCUACAGGCCCAUUCCUCCUUUCUCAUCUUUAUCAUCUCCUUUUUGAAAUGACUCAAGACGAGCCAUUUGAGACCAACUUGAAUGGGCCUAUCUGGAUGAUACAAACCUAGCUUCAAUGGUACUUCCCAGAGUUUCGGGCUGCCAAUUUGGAGUUCCCGGAGGGUGUGGCCCCUGCCCGAAUCUUGGCUGAAGCUGCCCCUAUAGAUCACUCCACCUUUGCCUGUUUCUACUUUUUCAGAGUUUGUAGAACUCGAUCAGAUUUAGAAUGGGGUGCGUCGGUCUUGAGAAGAUACCCUUGGUUUUCUGAUCAAGUCUUUCAAGAUGCUCCUGGUGAAGAUGCUACCCCCUCUUGUAGGGAGAAAUUCAUUAGCUGCAUUCAACCAAGAGACCUGGCCUGGGGAGUUCGGGGUAAUAGAUAUGACCGAGGUUUGGAGGUGUAUCAUCCUAACUUUUGCAGCAGGCAGUUAGGAUUCAAGCAGGCUAUUCCCGUCCCGUUCUUCGAUUCUAUCCAUUGUGGCACUUCAUUUCGACUACCAACUCCCUCUGAAGUGAUCUUCCGAGCUGCCCGACGCAGUCUUGACGUAAUGAGUCAGGCUACCCGAAAGUCCAUCAUCCUCAAUUUUGAAUGUACCUCGCUCUUCUCUUCUUGGUGGGAAAACAGAUGGACCAAGAAGUAUGGAGGAGAUUUGAAAGAGACUCAUGACCGCCUUUUCAGUCAACUUUCUCUUAAGUCAUACCCCGGCUCGGGCGAGCUUGAAAAUUGGAAGGAGAUGAUCCAAGAGAAGAAUCGGUCACUUCUGAUAGAUACUUCUCUUUUUAUCCUGAUUCUGUUUCCUUUCUGAAGCCCUUCUAACCUUAAUUUUGCUUGACCUCGUAGCCCCAGUGGAUGUUGAAUCAGAAGCCGUUGAGUCCGAGGAUGACUCAGCUGAUGCUGCAGUUCUCCAUGGCGCUGCAGCAGAGGCUGAAAGACAAUAAGCUGGGGAAGGUGUGGAUGUUUCGGAAUCCUUUGGAGAUUCAGGAGCUGAAGAAACACCCGAGGCAAUUAUUAAAGCACCAAGCGAAAGAAAGCGGCUGUGAUCGAGGCUUCAGACCCUGAUCCUGUACUUCUACCUAAAACCACACGACCAACUCUUACUAGAAAGAGUAAGAGAGAGAACUGUUGCUCCUCCUAAGUCAUCAGCCCCAUCUGCUCCAGUCCACGAGGCAGGCAGAAAGAAGUAACAAUCUUCAAGUAAGUUUCUGUUCUUCUUUACCAAACUGUUACCUUUCUCCUUUAUCUAAUUGCUUCUUGUUUUCUUUGAAAAACAGGACCUCAAGCAUCUAAAAGACCAAUCAUUGCUUCUAAGGAGGAACCAUUAAGAUCUACCAUGCUCAAAAAGGCUGAAGAACUGCAAAAUACCGUCCUCAAAGAACUCGAGGUAUGAUUUAUAUUUUUUAUCUGCACUUCCCUUCUCGCUUUCACAUAACUCAAAAUCUGAUUAUUCGAAUCAGACCGCAAGAGAUGAAAAGCUUCUUCCGCCCGAGGCCUCCCCAUCAUUUGCCCGAGAAACCAGCCUUUCUCCUCCUCAGGUCAACCCUUCAGAGGUACCCUUUUCUUCCUUUUCAACCCUUAGGUAACUCUAUAGUUUCUAGACUUAGUACCUGAAUCUUUCUUCUUCUUCUAUCUGUUUUUAGGCUGGGGCAUCUGCCUCCUUGCCUAGUCAUGGCCCUCCUAUGAAUUUUGUGAUUUCUUCUCCUGCCCUGGAUGCAACUCCUUCCUCUCAGUUUGACCCUUCUACAGGAGUUAUGUUGCACUUCGUGGAUGAGGGCAGUAACUUGGUGAGCCAUUAUUCCCGAAUUGAAUUCCUGAUUAACUCCUACUCACGUUUUCUGCAGCCUUCUCCGGUAUAUGAGCCACCCCUUCCAUCAGUGGUAUCAGAUAAUAAACCCAUAGUCCCUGAGAUUCCUGUAACCUCAGAGGUAAUAGUCUCACGGGUGCCUGCGUGCCCAAUAGUGGAUAUUGAUGAACCUCCUUCUUCUCUUGCUGGUGGUGGAAAGUCUUCCCCUCAACGAGGAUUUAAUACUCUUCCUGGUGAAACCCCAGGGCUAAGUCAGGUACAUUUCUUAUCUCCAAAGCCUCUUUUUGCCUCAAACUGUAUCCUUGUCUUGACCUGGUCCUUUUGGUUUUCCGCAGCAAGUCCUGAAAGAGACUUCCCCCCCUCGUUUGGUCCGUAAGUCAAAGUACUCCCGUCCUCAUUUAUCUUCUGGAGGUACAGAGAUUCCCCCUUCUGGAAUUGAGAAAAUCAGGCAGACAGAGAUUGCCCCCCAGUGGGCAUUGCUCCAUUAGAGGGAGCUGCAGUGCAGGAUCCUUCUCCUUUUCCAUCCUCAAACCCUGCUAAGUUUCCCAAACUUUUUGAAGCACUUAGGCGACUUGAGACGAGGUUGAAAUCCUCAAGACAUACUUCAGCGACCUCCAAUUCUUCAGAGCAACAACGAGUCUUCCAAGAAUGGGCGAGGAAGGACUUCACUGCAUUAUUCAGCCUCAAGGCUAUUUGUGAUUUAGAAAAGGUCACAAUUGAGUCUUUCAAAACUGGUCGGUUAUCAAAACCUCAGCACGAUUCCUUUCUCUCUUUUUUUGAGAAUUUAAGGGUUCUUAGAGAGCAAUACCAGAGAGCUGAUAGACAAGCUAAUCGGGCAAAAUGCUUUAUGGAGAAAAAGUCAAGCAUCUCCGCUCAAGUUGAUCGGUUGAUGGAUAAAAGCUUGCGGACAAAAGAAAGGGUUAAAGUUGUUACUUCUGAAAUCCAAAAGCUGGAGGAACAACUGGUUGCUCUUAAAGCUAAACAAGCAACUCUUCUGGAUACCCUCGAAAACCAAAUUGAGGGAGUAGAGAAGUCAAACUCGGAGUUAGAGCAUACUAGGUCCCAACUUGUAAAUAGCCAUACUGUUUUGGCCGAACCUAGUAGGAUAUUUGCCAUUAUGCAGACAUAUCAUUAUCGAAUAGUGACCUUGAGUGAAGAUGUUAAUUUUUUAGAAUAGGAUGAUUUGUAACCCUUUUCUUAUUGGAAUGAACAUGUGUUUUGUCCCCUGCUCUGCUCUUGGUACUGUUUGAAUUGACUUCGGGCAACUCUUCCCCCCUUGAUUACUUUAUUCUUUCUUCCACUUCCCUCGUUAGCAACAAUCUUAGGGCCUGAUCUUGAUUCCUUGGCCCCCUUAAUGGUACUUUUAUUCAUGCAGGGGUGUUGGGACAACCCGAGAUCUCUUCUUUCCUCUGCUGUACCAACUGGUGACCCCGACUCUUCUUUUUAAAUGAGGUUGAUCAUACUGAUAGAAGCCUCCGGGAAAGGGUUUGUAUCCACCAUCAUACUGGCUUGGGGCUUGUCAAGUAACAACUUUCCCUUCACUAUCAGGUUUUGUAUCCAAUCUCUAAACUGGACACAAUUGACUAUGGAAGGGUUGAAGGUAUAGUGUAGCUUACAAUACUUCUUCCCUCUGAGUUCUUCUGGUUUGGGCAUCUUUUUGGUAUUGUAGGGCAAAAUUACUCUUGCCCGCACCAGUUCUUCAUAGUCUCAGGUGCCUUGGCCAGAUCGAACGAAUAACUUUGGUACUUGGGUGGUUUCAUGGGGACGAAACCACCAUCGUUCAUUACGAUCUUCUGAUCUUUGACAAGUUGGACUAGCCCUUUUAUCGUCAGUGGUUUGAAAGGUGUGGUCAUUUCAGCGGCACAUACGUCAAUGUCUUCUUCAUCAUGGCCACCCUCAUGCUCUGGCCUGGUUUCUCCUACUUUCACACGAUGAAUUGCAGCUUUGUUUUUGUAGAAGGGAGGGACCUUGGAAGUGUGCUUCACUUGUUGCUCUUCUUGCAACAGCCUCUCAUACUUAGUGGCAGCAAUUACCAAUUCUUGCACCUCGUUGAAUUGUGUAUCAUAAAAUAUCUUCCUCAAAGGUAAUUUUAGAGCCCUUUGAGCAAUUGAUAUGAGCUGCGCUUGGUUGACGGGGAAUUGGCAUUUCAUUCUUGUUUUCCUGAACCUCAUCAUGAAGUCCUCAGUAGAUUCAUGAUCGUAUUGUUUGACUUCAACAAGGUCAUUGAUAGUUAAUUCUGGCUCUAUUCUGUAAAACUGUUCGUGGAAAGGCAUCUCCAUUUGCCCCCAGUUGGCAAUAGAGUUAGAGGGUAAUAGAGAGUACCACUGAGAUGCUAAACCCGCCAAUGAAUUCCCAAACAACCUCAAUUUAUAAUUUGGGUUGCCCUCAUAUGCCACACAAUGAUUGGAGAAUUUGAAAAUGUGGUCUCUGGAGGACACGCUACUGUCUUCACCUGUGAACGUUGGAAAUGCAGGCAUCUUGAAGUUGAGAGGGAAUGGAUUUAGCUCGUCAAUAUAUUCAGGAUAAGGCUUUUGGUAAGUGACCCUGAACAUUGGGCGAGCCCGCGGUUGAGCAUUUUGAGCUACUGUCCUUCUUAGCUCAACCAAUUCUUCCCUCAGCUGCUGAGUAGCUAAAUUAUCAUCAUGACCGAUGAGAGCAGUUUCGAUCUUUGGGCUCCAGUCGUUGCCCGUACCUGUUUCUCUCCUUGGUUCGGGCUUCCUCCAGUUAGUUCCCCCUCCCUUAUUAGCCAAUGGGGUGGCCUGUAAGGUGGAGGUUUAUCUGAAGUAGUGGUGCCUUCCUUUCUGCUAGUCUCCCCUAUCAUUACAGGCAUUCCAUACUUCGUUCUCUCUUGCUCGCUCUACCUCCUAUUAUUAAACGAUAAUAAUGGGAAGCUGAGAGGCUCUUUUUCCAGAACUAGCUCUAUCAUAGGUUGACUCCCUUCAGGAACCACUUUAUUCUUUCCCUUAUCCUUUUCUUCUUCUAAUAGUGGGAAUAAGGGAAUGAUUGGUUCACUUCUCAUGGUAACUUGGCUCAUCCCACUUUCCUGAGCCCCUUUUGGAGUAGAAAACUCCAGAUCAAGUCUUCUCUGUAGAUUCCCUGUUAGUGUACAGAGCCUACUCACUUCUCCUUUGGUUUCCAAGGAGAUUAUUUCCAUGCUUUUUAGUACUUGGAUCAUAGUAGCUUGCAGUUCUUCACUAGUUCCUUUCCCUUCCGAUCUCUCAGAUGAAGUUGGGCUUUCUAGGACCACUCGUCCUGAAGGGGAAGAAGGAUCUCCUGAUUGAUUUGCCACAUGUAGGAGAAAAGGUAGAGAGAAACCCUCAUUCGGAUUCUUUUUACCAAUUUUGUGGCUUUUCUUUUUGGAUAAGCAAGAUUAAAAGGUGUAUGAUCCCACCGGGCGUGCCAAAACUAUGUUCGCGUCAGGAAUUUCCGUCGGGAACGUUUCCUGGCCGACUAGCGCAUAGCUCCCCAGGAGGUUGGCGCCGGUUGAAGGCUGUUGUCGGGCUUCUGCUUCACUGUCGGGCGUCUGCUUCACUGUUGGGCUUUGUCGGGCAAGGCUCUUUGGGCAAGACUCGUCAGGCAUGGCUUGUCGGGCAAGGCUGGAAGAGAAGGACAGCGUUAACUUUGAGAGGUGCCUUUGUGGGGCCUUAGGUGUAAGCCUUGAGGCUCACAAUCAAGAUUAACUUCUAAGUACUCAGGCAUGCCACUGCCAUCUUUAGCAUGGCAGAUGUAAAAUAGAUGUCGCGUUUUAGUUUUGUAUAUAUAUAUAUAUAUAUAUAUGCCCGAGAAACCGUGUUAGUUAUAACAGGUGCCUUUGUGGGGCCUUAGGUGUAGGCCUUGAGGCUUCCCAUCAAUAACUAAACCAGUGCUCGAACAUAUAAUAUUCGUUCGAUUGAUUGCAGGAGCCUUACAACUAUUAUACUUCUGAUUAUCCGAAUCUGAGAGAUAGAACGAACCCAAAUAGGAGCCUUUGUGGGGCCUUAGGUGUAGGCCUUGAGGCUUCCUAUCAGAAUUCGUUCUUAUACUCAAACGUUCUAGACCGCGGAAUGGAAUGAAUCCAAAUAGGUGCCUUUGUGGGGCCUUAGGUGUAGGCCUUGAGGCUUCCUAUCACAAUCCAUUCCAUGCUUAAGCGUUCUAUGAUAAUCAUAAUAUAAUAGAAAUAAAACUAAGGGGUAGGUCGAUUACUUGCGCCCCAAGUAACUUCGGACUUCUUGUUUAUCAAGGACUAUUGUGGAUGGGUUAAGUCCACAUAAGGUUCUUUUUUAUGCCUUGAGGCCAAGGACUUUCAACUGAUCAAAUUUACAUGCCCGAAGGCUUAGAACUUAGAUCUGGUUUGAACAAUGAAGAUAUAUUCAAAUCGGAUCCAAGUACUAAGAGAUUCUUUUAAUGGUCAUCUUACUAGAAAUAACUUGAAUAUAACUGGAAGUAUACAACAUAUUGCUAGGCUAAUGAAUGAAAAGACAAAAACAAAGAAGGUCAGGCAAGGUUUAACCUUGUUGGGCAAGCCUGGUCGUCUUGCAGGUUCCUAUCUUUGUGGCUUAUCAAGGGUCUGAGAGCUUUUAGGGAGAGGUAAGGAGAGGAGUUUACAAAGAGAAAUCGAUACUACAGCAAGGUUGAACAGGGUAGCAGAGCUAUUACAAGGGUUUGAGUGAAGGCUUAGCCCGAGAGGGAUGAAGGUUUGGGCUGACUACAGCUUCGUUUUGAAUGCAAAUCUGGCUUUGAGCAGAGUUUGUGCUUGCAUUUGUUUGUUUGUUUGAGUGUCCUUAAUCCUGAUUUCUCUUUCUUCUUUUAUAGACAACUCAGCUUGGCCUCUUGUAGCAGCAACCUUGCCCGAAUGCAACUUGAGAGGCAGUGACUCAUUAGCUUUUUUACUUGUUCUGCCAUUAUAAAGUACUUUAUGGGCUGUAUAGCUGGUUAGUCUAUACCACUUGGCUUUUGGGUAGGUGAGUAAGUGGUCUUCAUGAGCUGCACCAAGUCAGAAAAGCCCAUUUUCUGCUUUCUGGGUUUUGGCUGGGCUUAGGCCGGCUCUUCCUUUAGGCAUCCUUUUUGGCCAGCCCCUUUCCUGAGCCCAAAGUUCAAGUUUUGAUCCAAACAGGUUAGACAUUGGAAGUAUAGCAAUACUCAAGUUCACAUGUCAAUCAAACACCAAAAAUCAAACUUAAUCAAUCCCACAUGCAAAAGGAACAAACUUAAUCCGUUUAAAACCAAAAUGAGUAAACCCACAACCCAAAAUCUACGUCCAAUUCUUACCUUUUCACCACAAAAGCAUCGAAGUUUAAGCUGAAAAUUUCAAGCCCAUAACUUGUUCGAUGAAUGCUUAAGAAAACAGAGUCAGCAGUGUCACAUCCCAGUCUCGACUUUGUCGUAGCACGAUAUUAUUCACUUUAGUCUUUCCAUUCCCUCACGAAUUUGUUUCUGGGAACUCAGAAGAGAACUUCCCAAUGGAUCACCCAUCUUAGGAUUGCUCUUGCCCAAACUCGCUUAACUUCGAAGUUCCGAUGGAAUCCGAAGCCAAUGAGUUCCCAAAAGGUCUCGUUUUAUAGGGAGAUGAGCAUUUACAUAUGAGGCACAUCACCCUCUCCGUUGGUCGAUGUGGGAUCUUACAAUCCACCCUACUUAAAGGGAACUCGGCAUCCUUACCGACACAUCCGCACCGAACGGUAGAGUGGCUCUGAUACCAAAUUGUCACAUCCCAGUCUCGAUUCCGCUAUAACACAAUAUUGUCUGCUUUGGGCUUACCAUUCCCUCAUGGAAUUGUUUCUGGGAACUCAGACGAGCAUUUCCCAAUGGGUCACCCAUCUUAAGAUUGCUCUCGCCCGAACUCGCUUAACUUCUGAGUUCCGAUGGAAUCCAAAACUAGUGAGUUCCCAAAAGGUUUCGUGCUAUAAAGAGGGGAGCAUGUACAUACAAGGCACAUUACCCCCUCUCCAUUGGUCAAUGUGGGAUCUUACAAGCAGAGCCACAGAACAACCUUAUCCAUGUUGCAGAUGACAACACCCAAUGAGCUUGUCCCUUUGAGGUAUGUUCUUCCACGGCGGCCAAUCCCAUUCAAAACCCACUUUCCUGACUCAAUUCCCUUUCAGAAUCAGACCUAGAACCCGAACCAGCCCGUUGGACCUUAUCCAUCGGUAGCUUAUUGACUCUCUUGGUUUCUCUAAUGCUUUCCUUCUCCUUAAUGCUGCAAAGCACUCUCAACUCCAAGUUGUUCUUCGAAGGAAACCCAAGCAAACGACGUCGUCUAGGUGAGGAGGUGAUAGAUUGUGAGCUUGUGCUAUGUGAAAAUAAGCAGGAGGAGCACUUGGCUCUGAGAAAGCGAGACGAAGUGAGAGAGAUGACGAGAUGAGCGAGAGAGGAGAGAGACCAAGUGAGCCAGAGGGAAGAGAGAGACAAAUGGGUAGGUAGUGUCUGGACUCGUUUCCAAUUAAACCCUAAAAAAUGCCUUUUUUUUUUAAUUAAACCGCCAAAAUUUUAACUAUUGCGCAACGUAGUUAUAAAUUAUGAUGCCGCGCAAAGUCCUUUUGCGCAACGAUCAUUUAUGGCGUUGCGCAAGGUAUUUUUUUUAAAAUAAAAAUUAUUAUAAAAUUUAUUAAAAUUUGACUUUACUCCCUUCAAACUUAAUUUUUUUUCAUAAAACCCACAAUAAUAUAUUUUUCUAAUAGAACCCCGACCCAAACUACAAUAAUAAAUUUAAAGCUACUUAAUAAAUAUAUAUACCAUUCAAUUACUUAAGUGUUAUACGUACAAAAUAAAUAAAUUUAAAUCUACUUAAUAAAUAAAUAUAUAUAUACACACAUACCAUUUAACUUGAUGAGAUACGAAUUCUCCGAAAUUAAUUUCAAUGAUCCAACCGUCAAACGUAUAUGCUUCAAGAUUGCAUACACAAAAAAUCGCAAAAAACAAACAUUCAGAGAUCAAGUAAAUGGACAAAACUUUUCAACGGUUAUAAACGAAAAAUCACGAUUUAACGGUUAUUCUAACUCCGAUUUUGAUUAUUUUUUUAUAGCUACACUCCCUGAUCCUAUAUGAAUACAAUGAAUGAAUUCGAUCUUCAAUUUAAAAUAUUUACACUAGUGGAUAUCACAAAAUCUUAUGUUAUACUUAAUGGAAGUAUAAAUAAACUCUAAGUGUUAGUGAAUCUCUCAUUUUGAUGGGAUACGCAUCCUACGAAACUAAUUUCAACGAUCUAACCGUCAAACUUGUUUGUAUAUGCUUCGAGAUCACAUAUGCCAAAAAUCGCAAAAAACAAACAUUCAGAAAUCAAGUAUCGGGACAAAACCUUUCGACGGUUAUAAACUAAAAACCACAAUUUAACGGUUAUUUUAACUCCGAUUUUGAUGAUUUUUUAUAGCUACACUCCUUGACCCUAUAUGAAUACAAUGAAUGAAUUUGAUCUUCAAUUUAAACUAUUUAUACUAGUGGAUACCACAAAAUCUUAUGUUAUACUUAAUGAAAGUAUAAAUAAACUAAGUGUUGGUGAAUUUGUCAUUUUGAUGGGAUACGCAUACUACGAAACUAAUUUCAACGGUCCAACUAUCAAACUUGUUUGUACAUGCUUUGAGAUCGCAUACGCCAAAAAUUGCAAAAAAAAACAUUCAAAGAUCAAGUAACGGGACAAAACUUUUCGACGGUUAUAAACGAAAAAUCACGAUUUAAUAGUUAUUUUAACUCCAAUUUUGAUGAUUUUUUACAGCUACACUCCUUGAUCCUAUAUGAAUACAAUGAACUAAUUCGAUCAUCAAUUUAAAAUAUUUAUACAAGUGGAUACCACAAAAUCUUAUGUUAUACCACAAAGUUGUUGACUUUGCACGACGAAGGUGCACCUACGUCACACAAAGCUAUUUUGCGCAACAAAUGCACACCCUUGUAGCGCAAAGUGGUUUUGCACAACGACCCCAUCGUGGCAUCGCGCAAGUUAUAUUUAAAAAAUAUAUAUUAUAAAAUUUACUGAAAAUGUGAUUUUACUCCCUUCAAAUUUAAUUUUUUUUUACAUAAGACCCAUAAUAAUAUAUUUUUCUAACAAAAACCUGAUCCGAACUACAAUCAUAAAUUUAAAGCUACUUAAUAAAUAUACAUACCAUUCAAUUUCUUAAGUGUUAUAUGUCACAGCCCGUCCCGGAGAUGUACGUUAAUUAUGUUAUCGACGGUGUGAAAUUACCUAAAUAUCCUUGGACGUUGAGAAUUAUUAUGGGAUGUUGUGGUUUAACUUAAGAUUUUGGACCAAUUAGUUAUAUUCCUCUUUUAGUGGAUCCAAUUAGAACUAAGUGUUCUCUUAGUUGUGAUUGGUGUGCAUUUUUAGACCACACACACAUCCCUACCCUUUCUCUCUCUUCUCUCCCAUACUCUCGCUCUCUCUCUCUCUCGGUUUCACUCUCUCUCUCCUUGCUAUACGUAUGGACAAGGGCAAGAACACCCCAAACUUCGCAGAUCGAAGGUUUUGAGUGCACCAUUGUGUUCCUCGUGGUGCUAUGAGUUGAUUGAUAUCCAUUUCAGGUAAGGAUACUUUUGAUACCUCGAGAACCCGAGAAACAAAGUUUCAUGCACUGUUCACAUGGACGUAAAACUACUUGUUUCAGGGAAUUUGAAGCUCAUAGGGAGCUUAAGGAGGUCCUAAGGAAACUCGGGGUGGUUUCGACUUAUGUGCGGUAUAUUGCCGUAUAGGUCAUUGUAGUGACUCCGGCUAGAUUGACUUUUGAGCUAUGAAUUCAGCCGUACAUACUACCACAGGGGUUCCGGCUAAUAUAUCAUAUUUCUAUGAAAUCAUUCUUACCUAGAUUGUUUACUUUGUUAUAUUGGCUUGGCAUACAUAUGAAUAUGAUUAUGUGAAGUAUGAAUUGAAUUGAUAUGAUUUCAUAUAUAUAUAUAUAUUAUGUAUAUGCUUAUAUCGUGGUUCUGGGAAAAAUUAUACAUGUUUUACAGCGAGGGGUUAGUGUAUUAAUAAAUGAAAUGGUUUUGUAAAACAAUUGUUUUUGCCCACUCACGUUUUCUGUUUUGCACCCCUCCAAGUUUUAUGUAAGCUUGUUGUUGGUGGCUUGAGGACGUCGGUAGUUCUGACUUAUCUAAAUAAUAGUAGGACAUUCCCGGUACUGUAUAAUUAGUAUUUGUCCUACUGGACUGCACCUAGACUUUAUGCUCUGAAUAUGAGUGUUUACUGUUGUAACUAACUCCUAUCACUUUUUGUUGAGUAGUGCACUCUAGUAAUUUGGUUUUCAAUUAUUCGUAUAAUUGUUAUCAUUAUCGCUUCCGCACUGUGCACAUGGCUACGUCACUCUCACAUGACGGCCAACAUGCCUUGAUCUCGGUCGGGGUGUGUCAGUUUGGUAUCAGAGCCUAGGUUUAGCAGUCCUGUAUAAUUCUUGAAUGUUCUAAUCCUUGUGAUGUCUUAUGUUAGAACUAUGCCGCCUCGUAGAGAGCUCCGUCAAUCAAUUGAAUCUAGUUUCCCUGAUAUUGCUCGAUUAGGGGAAGCUAUAGUUUCUGCCAUUCAGACAACAUUCCGUACUCCUCAGAGGACACCUCUUGAGACAGUUCAUAAUUUGAAGUUGACUCACUUCAUGGGAAAUGAAGGUCAUGAGGGGGCAGAAAAAUGGUUGAAUCAUGUGGAGAAGACCUUUCAGAUGAUGCAGAGUCAGGGGAAUCUUCCUCCUGAUAGAUGGGUCGAGACGACUACCUGGUGUUUUGGAGAACAGCCUGCAUCCUGGUGGAGACAGGAGUCUUAUCAGUUGACCCCAGCAGAGAUUGUGGACUGGGGAAUAUUUAAAGAGCUGUUUCGAAAAAGGUUCAUUCCUUUUGCGUAUAUCGAUCGUAAGAAACAAGAUUUUACUCAUUUGAGGCAAGGAAAAAAUGUCCGCUAAUGAGUAUUACAGGAUGUUUACUGAUCUGUUGAGAUAUGAUUCCGAGAUUGUUACUAAUCCGGUAGAGAUGCUUCGCCGUUUCAGUUUGGGUAUUAAGAAGAAAUGGCGUUCCAUAGCAACAUUGACUCACUGUGCCUCUUACCAGGAGUUUUAUGAGAUUCUACUAAGGAUUGAGGCCUCAGAGAACAUGCCUAGUGAAAGUGAGGAUGAGGAAGGAAAAAAUGAGGGCCAGAGAUGAGAUGACAAAGGAAAAGGGCAAGCAUUUCAGGGACACCGCAAGACCUAGAACUUUAAGAGGAAUGGUGGCAGUUCCAGCUCUUCUAGCGGAGGAUUGAGUGCUAAUAUGCAGAGGAGAGGUGGUAGAUUUACUGGAGGCCCUAGGUUCUAGAGGCGGAGAGAUUUUGGUGGAUCUGGUGUUCCCUUAUGCCACAUGUGUAAUAAUCGGCAUUUUGAGGAGUGUGGGAUAGGUAGUAAUGGAUGUUUUACUUGUGGAUAGAUGGGUCAUAGGGCUGCCCAAUGCCCUCAGAGUCAGCAGAGACCCCAGCAGCCUUCUUUCCCACUACUUGCACCUACCCAGUAAGCUUCAAGAUCUGGUGGCUAUACUUAGACUGAACGAGGAGGUGCCUACCACUAUCAGGGCGACGCCGCUCCCUACACCUCAAGACAGCAACAGUACUCUCAGGAUCCUCAGUAUCAGAAUGGGUAUCCUCAAUAUCAAAGAGGAUCUAUGUUUUAUCAGCCACAUUCAGCCAGAGGAUCUCAGUGGUAGCAAGGAAGACAGCCCCAACAGGGAGAGAUUGCUGCUAGUAGUGCAGGAUCUUCGAGGCAGUCGGGUCAGCAGAGGCAGGGACGUAGUGUUCAUGCCAACAGAGGUCGUGGUGGACGACAGCAGAAUCAGGGGCAUAUCCACAACAUGUCACUGCAAGAUACCUAGAAUAAUCCAGAUUUAAUCAUGGGUACGUUAAAUAUUCUUGGUCAUUUUGCUAGAGUAUUGAUUGAUUGUAAUGCUACACAUUCUGUUAUUUCUCAUACAUUUGCUCAAGUGACACAACCUCAUCCUACACCUCUAGGAUAUAAUUUAGAACUUUUUAUGCCUAGAGGGGAUAGAUGUUUUGUGGAUCGGGUAUAUCCAGGAUGUCCAGUGAUAGUAGAGGAUGUUAUUAUGUCGGCUAAUCUUAUGCCGUUGGAUAUUAUGGAUUUUGGUGUGAUUUUGGGCACUGAUUGGUUGCACUAUAAUCGUGCCAAGAUAGAAUGUUAUGAAAAGACAGUCACAUUUCAUUGUCCUGGAUUACCUAAAGUUUCAUUUGUAGGAGAACCUAGGGGGUAAGGCAUGGUAUUAUUUCAACCAUGAAAGCAAAGAGACUGUUGUUGAAAGGUUGUCAGGGAUAUUUGGCUCAUGUGGUGUUGAAUGAUGAUGCUCUUAGUAGUGUGGAGGAUGUUCGUGUGGUCAGAUAUUUUUCGGAUGUAUUCCCUGAGGAUUUGCCUGGAUUGUCGCCAAAUAGAGAGGUGGAGUUUGUUAUUGAUCUGCUUCUAGGUAUGAAUCUUAUAUCUUUAACUCCUUACAGAAUGGCUCCUGCUGAAUUAAGAGAAUUGAAAGUACAGUUGCAAGAGUUAGUGGAUAAAGGUUUUGUUCAGUCGAGUACUUCACCUUGGGGAGCUCUAAUGUUAUUUGUGAGGAAGAAAGAUGGAACUUUGAGGCUGUGCAUUGAUUACAGACAAUUGAAUCGGGUAACCAUUAAAAACUGUUAUCCAUUGCCUCGUAUAGAUGAUUUAUUUGAUCAACUCAGAGGUGCCUGCAUAUUUUCUAAGAUUGACUUAAGGUCGGGUUACUACCAGUUGAAGAUUAAAAAUGAAGAUGUCCCUAAGACCACAUUCAAGACUCGAUAUGGUCAUUAUAAGUUUCUUGUGAUGCCAUUCGGGUUAACUAAUGCACCAGCAGCUUUUAUGGAUUUGAUGAAUCGAGUAUUCCAACCAUAUUUGGACAGGUUUGUUAUUGUCUUCAUUGACGAUAUUCUGGUAUACUCUAAGUCUAAGGCUAAGCAUGCUAGACAUCUGAAUUUGGUGUUGAGCAAUUUGAGGGAACACCAACUAUAUGCUAAGUUUAGCACAUGUGAAUUUUGGUUGAAUCAACUGGCAUUUUUGGGACAUGUUAUUUUUGCUCAAGGCAUUCAAGUGGAUUCUUAGAAAGUGGCAACUGUGGAGAAUUGAGAGCAACCUCGAACCGUCACCGAGGUACGGAGUUUUCUUGGCCUAACAGGCUAUUAUAGACGGUUCGUUAAAGAUUUUUCAAUGAUUGCUUUUCCAUUGACGAGGUUGACACGAAAGGAUGUAAAGUUUGAGUGGGAUAGUAAAUGUGAGCAAAGUUUCCAACAGUUGAAGUACUAUCUCACUCAUGCUCAUGUUCUAGCGUUUCCAGAUGAUAACGGUAAUUAUGAGGUUUAUAGUGAUACUUCUCUGAAUGGUUUGGGUUGUGUAUUGAUGCAACAUGGUAGGGUAAUUGCUUAUUCUUCGAGACAAUUGAAACCUCAUGAGAAAAAUUACCCUACACAUGAUUUAGAGUAAGCAGCUAUCAUCUUUGCCUUGAAGAUUUGGAGACAUUAUCUUUAUAGUGAGAAAUGUAAGAUCUUUACAAAUCAUAAGAGUCUUCAAUAUUUGUUUACUCAGAGAGAUCUUAAUCUUUGACAGUGGAGGUGGAUUGAGUUACUUAGUGACUAUGAUUGCACGAUUGAGUAUCAUCCUAGUCAUGCAAAUGCAGUGGCGGAUGCACUUAGUAGGAAGACUCCAGUCAGACUUAAUGCCAUCUAUGAUUGUCAUGUUCCUCUCUUAGCAUAUUUGAGGUCCACUAGAGUGGAGCUAGGAGUGGAAGAUCGAGAAGAAGCCUUACUUGCUAAUUUUCAGGUUAGGCCAAUUUUGGUUGAUCGUGUGCUUGAGGCUCAGAUGAUUGAUGUGUAGACCCAGGAAAUAAUUCAAGCAAGGAACCAAGGUAGAAAGAAAGAUUUUGGGAUUUGAGAAUCUAAUGGUAUGCUUAUGCAGGAAUGCAGAAUGUAUGUGCCAAAUAAUGCGGAGUUAAAGAAAGAAAUUUUGGAUGAAGCACAUAUUUCGGCAUAUGCAAUGCAUCCAGGAGGCACUAAGAUGUAUCAUACCAUUAGACCAUUUUAUUAUUGGCUGGGUAUGAAAAGAGAAAUUGCCAAAAAUGUGAGUAGGUGUGCCAUUUGCCAACAGGUUAAAGCUGAAAGGAAAAAGCCGUUUGGGUUGAUGCAGCCACUUCCCGUUCCACGGUGGAAAUGGGAAAAUAUUACUAUGAAUUUUGUGUACAAGCUUCCUCGCACACAAAAUGGUUAUGACGGCAUUUGGGUGGUAGUUGAUCGGCUUACUAAGUCAACACAUUUUAUUCCAGUGAGGGAAAAGUAUUCGUUAAGCCCGAUUAGCUAAGUUAUUUCUAUUGCAGAUUGUGAAGUAUCACGGUGUGCCAGUUAAUAUUAUCUCGGAUCGGGAUCCUAGAUUUACUUCCAAGUUCUGGAUAGCAUUCCAGGAAGCUCUUGGUACGAGAUUGCUUUAUAGUACGGCAUAUCAUCCUCAGACAGAUGGACAAUCUGAGAGGACCAUUCAAACAUUAGAGGAUAUGUUGAGAUCUAGUGCUACAGUUUGGAGAUAGUUGGCAUGAUUGUUUAGAUUUGAUGGAGUUCGCCUACAACAAUAAUUACCAUUCAAGUAUUCAUAUGGCACCAUUUGAGGCACUUUAUGGGAAAUCUUGUCAUAUGCCUCUAUGUUGGUCAGAGGUUGGCGAAAGAGUUUUAGUGGGCCCAAAGAUUGUGGAUGUGACUACUCAAAAUGUUCAGGUAAUUAAGUCUAACCUGAAAGCGGCCCAAGAUUGACAAAAGAGCUUAGCAGACAAGCAUGCCACUGAUCGGAAGUAUAAUGAAGGUGAUUGGGUAUUUCUAAAGCUAUCACCUUGGAAAGGUGUUGUAUGAUUUGGAAAGAAAAGAAAGUUGAGUCCUAGGUACAUUGGACCAUAUAUGAUCACCAAACGAGUCGGUGAGGUUGCUUACAAGCUUAAGUUGCCUCCAGAGUUGUCCAAGGUGCACGAUGUAUUUCAUGUUUCGAUGCUUCGACAUUAUAUUUCAGAUCCUUCACAUGUGAUUCCUCCUUAACCUUUGGAAAUCAAUUCGGAUUUGAUUUAUGAUGAGGAACCAGUGACUCUAUUGGAUUGCAAGGAUAAGGAACUGAGGAACAAGACCGUGCUUGGUGAAAGUAUUAUGGAGAAAUCAUUCAGUAGAAGAAGCUACUUGGGAGACAGAGGAUCGAAUGAGAGAGAUGUAUCCAUGCUUGUUUUAUGAUUAUUAGUGGAUGUAUUGGUUGUACGUAAUUUCAAGGAUGAAAUUUUAUAAAGUGGGGAGAUUGUCAUAGCCCGUCUCGAGUAAUAAUUAUCGUGGUUGUGAAAAAAUGAAUUUACCCUUGAGCGUCGGGUGUGUGUUUGUAUUUUGGGUUAAGAAAUUGGGUCAAUUAGUUUUAUCCCUAACUAAUUGGACCCAAUUAGAGCUAAAAGAUUAAAGAGUUUUGAUUGGUGUGCAUUUUGGAACCACACACACACAUCCAUAUCCUUUCUCUCUCUUCUCUCCCGUACUCUCUCUUGGACUCACUCUCUCUUCCCUCUCCUUCGUACGGACAACCUUGAACCAAGCCAAAUCUUCACAGAUCGAGGAAGAAAAUGAUACCAUUGUGUUUAUGAGGACCAUACGAGUGCAAAGGUACCCAUUUCAGUUAAGAACUCGUUUGACAUCACGUUGAAAACCCAAGCUCUAAGUUAAGCACUAUUCAUGAACUUUUGAAUGGUUAUGUUUUAGGACAAUCCAAGCUCAAAUUGAGCUUUAGGAGGUUCUCACGAAGCCUGGAGUGCUUCGUUGGCUCGAUUUUGAAGUCAGGAUCACGAGGUUCGAAGGUGGCCGGUUUUGGUAGGAUUUUCCUGACGAGUUUUCGAGGGAUUUGAAGCUCCUAAGAGGUAUAACCUUCUUCCUCUCGUGAUUUAUGAUAAUCUGGUGAAAAUUACGGGAAAAAUAGUGCAAAAACAAGCGAGAAAUAGGCAGUUGCAGGUCUGCCUAGAAUCAGGUGCCGGUGAUACUAUUCCGGCGUCUGGAGGUUGAAGGUGAUGCGUAGGGAUGGGCAAAUAACCAUUGGUUAUGGGUAACCGCGGUUACCGGUCCAUUUAAAUUAAACGGUUACGGUUAUGGGUAACCGUUUAGAUAAAUAAACGGUUAUGGGUAUAACCGUUUACCCGUGAAAUUUAAAUGGGCGGUUAUGGGUAUUAACCGCGGUUAUAAACGGGUAACCGUUUACCCAUAUAUUUUACAUAUGUAAAACUAACACAAAUCAUGUUCUUGAUCCAAUAAUACUUAGCACCCAAUCAAUUAGCAAGGAAUUCAUCGAUCCUUCUCUCAAUAACACUGCUACAGGAAUGAUGAUUCACAUCAUCAAGGAAUUUGCCAAAUUAAUUUAAAUUCCUUGCGUGUAAUCGUGAAAUUGACAGAAAUGUCUUUUAGAUAAUUUUUGUAACCCAAUAAUACUUAGCAAAUAUUAUAUUUACCUUCAUUGGUAACAGUUAAAAUAUCGUCCGUAAACUAUUAUUUCAAUUAUUGGAAUGGUAUAAGGACUUAAAAAUUAAAAUACGGAAAAGUAUGAUGAAUGUACCUAUAACGGUGUUUAAUUGUCAAAAAAAAAAGAAAAUUAUGACAAUUUUUUUUAAUUUUCAUGGUGUUAAAAAACAUGUAGAGGGUGAAAAUGGGGUAAUGGUAAAAACAAAAAACAUAAAUGGGUUAAAAAGGGUAAAUGGGUAAACGGGUAUUAAACAGUUAUGGUUAAAUGGGUAUGUGAUUAUGGGUAUGGUUAACCGUUUAUAAACGGUUAUGGGUAUGGGUAUAACCAUUUAGGCAAUUACCCAACGGGUAAACGGUUAUGCGGGUUUGAGUAUAAACGGUUCUGGGUAAAUAACCGCGGUUUACCGCCCACCAUAACCAUUGCCCAUCCCUAGUGAUGCACAUGAGGGCGCAUGAGGGUGCGUGAGCCAUAGAAAAAUUAUUUUAAAAAUUUCAAGAUGUUCGUGAGAUUGUGUAGGUCACUGUGGUAUAUUCAUAUACCCAUUUUGAGCUAUGUAUGAGAAGUUAUUAGCUAGUUUUGCCUAUGUGCUUUAAAAUAACGUUUUUAUAGUUAAUUCGCAUAUAGGUGAGACUUAUCCCGAGGACGAGCGUAUCCACGGGCGACUCGGGGUUACGACCCAUCGACAUACCAAUGAGUGGGCUUUUGUUUUCAGUAUAUAUUUAUAUACUUGAUAUAUUUCCCAGAAAUGCAUUUUUAAGGAAAGUAUGCUUUGAAAUAAUAUGUCAAAUGCUUUUAUAUUCUGAAUAUGCAUUUCAUGGUUGCAUAUAUAUAAAUGUGGUGCUGUGGAGGGACAGGUAAGUUCAGGUAAGUUAUGUUUGAGUAUGUGAAUCAUCGAUGAUGUGAUAUGUGAUUGAAUAAUGUUGAGCUCAUAAAACUGCACCUAGGGUGAUUGUGAUUUAGCCAGAGAUAUGAAGUACAGGCCUGUUUAUUUACGUCACCUCCCACACAAUAUGCUCAUAUUGGAUCCAACUUAAGUGCACAGUCUUGUCAUACAGACCUUAUUUAUAGUUUCGACUCGUAGGUGACUAGCGAUUUAUCGCCCGGCUAUUAUAAGAGAAUAGAAUUGAGCAUAAUUAUAUUACACCCAAUCUUGUCGUACAGACCCAUUUUUAGUGGUUCCGACUUAUGUGCAGUAUAUUGCCGUAUAGGUCAUUGUAGUGACUUCGGCUAAAUUGACUUUUGAGCUAUGAAUUCAACCGUACAGACUACCACAGGGGUUCUGGCUAACAUAUCAUAUUUCUAUGAAAUCAUUCCUACCUAGAUUGUUUACUUUGUUAUAUUUUGGCAUGGCAUACAUAUGAAUAUGAUUAUGUGAAGUAUGAAUUGAAUUGAUAUGAUUUCAUAUAUAUAUAUAUAUAUAUAUAUAUAUAUAUAUAUAUAUUAUGUAUAUGCUUAUAUCGUGGUUCUGGGAAAAAUUGUACAUGUUUUACAGCGAGGGAUUAGUAUAUUGAUAAAUGAAAUGGUUUUGUAAAACAAUUGUUUUUGCCCACUCACGUUUCUGUUUUGCGCCCCUCCAGGUUUUAAGUAAGCUUGUUGUUGGUGGGUUGAGGACGUCAGCAGUUCUGACUUAUCUAAAUAAUAGUAGGACAUUCCUGGUUCUGUAUAAUUAGUACUUGUCCUACUGGACUGCACCUAGACUUUAUGCUCUGAAUAGGAGUGUUUACUAUUGUAACUAACUCCUAUCACUUUUUGUUGAGUAGUGCACUCUAGUAAUUUGAUUUCAAUUAUUCGUAUAAUUCUUAUCAUUAUCGCUUCCGCACUGUGCACAUGGCUACGUCACUCUCACGUGACAGCUAGCAUGUCUUGAUCUCGGUCGGGGUGUGUCAAUUGCCAUGUCACAAGUACCCUACACCGUAAAUAGACAAAGAUUUUGAGAAAUAUUUUUACACUCUAUUGUAACCUUUAGAUCUUUUAACAUUGAACGGUGUUGAUUAAGAGUUAUGUGGAGACUUUUAAACAUUAAAUGAAUUGAAUGAUGGUGUGGAAUAUAUAAAUUAAAAAAAAAAAUAUGAUAAAAUAAAAUUGAUUUUUUUUUAAAAAAAAAAGGUUAAAAUUUGAUACAGAAAAAAUGUGAAACUGAAAUCGCUGUGAAGCAGCCUAAAUCCAAAAUCUUCAUUCUUGGAUCUUGGGUUGUUAGAGUUUUGCUAUGGAUGUGACAAAUUGGUUGAGUUGUUCAUCUAAACUUUAGAGCGCUUAAACCUUCUCAAGAUAAAACCCUAAUUUUUUUUUUCUUAAAGCAAAAUUCUCUCUUUGCUUAGUAGCAUGUUUUAUUGUUCACUAGGGUUCAUUGUUUGAAAAGGCAAGAAGAGUAUACAUUUUCAGACAAAAAAAAGGAGAAGACUUUACAUCCAAGGCAUGGAGUUGCAGGCCUCAUCGGCAAACAAAGAGGAAGAUGGAGGGUAGAGUAUUUUAGGGUUCUCUUUUUAAAAAAAAAAAAAAAAUAUAUAUAUAUAUAUAUAUAUAUAUUUUAUUAAAUUAGUGUUUUCCUUAUUAGUUAUAAUCCAAAUCAUCAUCCAAUUCAUUUAAUGUUUAAAAGUCUUCACAUAACUCUUAAUCAACACCGUUGGAUGUUAUAAGAUCUAAAGGUUACAAAAGAGUGUAAAAAUGUUUGUCAAAAUGUUUUUCCCUUGAUCAUAUCCCAUAUAUAUAUAUAUAUGUGUGUGUGUGUGUGUGUGUGUUUCCGUUAACAUCAUGAGAAAGCUUGUUAGGAUUAGAGUUUGGGUUAUGAAAGAGACAAAUGCAAAUUACCCUAUUUUUUUUUUGAUAAAAGAAAUUCCUUAAAAGGAGAGAACCACAAAUACAACCAGUUUCAAUACAAUCAAAGUUUAAAGCUAAUGAAGCAAAGGAGAGAGUAACAUAUACCCAAAUAUGAUUCGACUGUAGUUGGUAUUACCCUACUUCUAUAAACUGUUGUAUGACACAUAGAAUUAAAAGAAUUAAUAACAUACAUUUUCUGUCACUUAGUGCUACGGUCUAGUGAUAUUCUUCUUCACUACAUUAUUGCUAACCCUUUGUGAGGUUAACCCCCUCACCCCUCUCCCUUAGUGUAGAUUUUUUCAAAAAAAAAAAAAUGCUGCAGUCCUAUUAGAUUAGGAAUGUGAUUGGGUAAAUCAUAAUAUAUCUUGAAAUAUCUCUUAUAUUCCUAUUAGAAGUUGAUUACCUAUUAAGAAUUGUAAUCCUAAAAAGGUAAGGAAUUAACCUUUUCUACUACUAUAAAUAAAGUCACAACAGGGUGGAAUAGAACACACCCACAAUUACACAUCUCUCUCUUAUCUCUACUAUUGCCGCACAUUUCUCUCUCUUUAUGACCUCCAUAAUUGUUCAGUAAAUUAUGCCUACAACAAAAAAUUAACAAUAACAUAUGUUUUCCAUUUAGUGUCGUUUACCAAAAUUGUAAUAAUGCUGCUUAGCGGUAUUUCUCUUUACUUGUGAACAUAGUUGCCAAAUAGGGGUAUGAUUCGAGUUUGCAAUUUGGUUCGGAUAUGGAAUUCGGUAGUAACAUAAUGUAUCAUUCGACAAAGAGUAGGCAUAGAUAGUACGGUUUUUAGUUCGAUUCAUUCUAAAUUCGUUAAGGAAUAUAAAUUAUUUUAUUAUAAAAAUAUUGUAAUUAUACAUUUUACAAUUAUAUUGUAUAGUUAUUAUCAUCAAAAGAUGAAAACACGUCAAAAAGAAUUAAUUUACUUAAUUGGUUUAAUAAAAAAUAAUAAAAAUAUUCUUAUAAUAUAAAAUAUUUUCGUGGAUGUCAGUUUGAGUACAAAAAAACUAAGAAAGCAUGUCAUCAUUAUAAACAUGGGUGUGAUAUCCACAUACCCCAUUUUACUUCUCAUACAUCUUUUUAAUUUUCAGCCGUCAGAUCGGAUGAAUUGAAGAAGAUCAACAGACAUAAAUUAUCAAGGACUGUGUAAGAAAUAAAAUGGAGUGUGUGGAUAGCAUAUCUCUAUAAAUAUUUGAAAAUAAAAAAUAUUAAAUAAAACAAAAAUUUCAAAUUAGGCCCACUUCAACACACUCCCUCUCCCGGUUCCCAUAAAUCCCUUUCCCAUUUCCACCUUUUCCACUUUCGGAGCCACCGCCACCGAUUCGAGAGGGAAAAUCUAAAGAGAAUGAGCCGAAUUUACCACCGAAUCGCCAUAUAAUCGAUUCGGCAGUACUGAUACGGGAUUCAGAUGGUGAAAGACCGUAUCCGGCAGCUAUGCUUGUGAAGAAUCCUUUAUAAUAUGGUUGAGGAAAGUCUUUUAUUUCUGGAAUAACAUCCACCCAAGAACUGAAUUCCAGGGUUUCUGCCUUCAAAAACAACAUAGAAAUUAAAGUUUCUGCCUUCUGGAAAAACAUUUUGAGGGCGAAGUCCAAUAGUUUCUGGAAAGAUUGGCUUAUUUUGUAAAUUAUGAAUACUUAUAUUCAUCUGACUAAAGACAUAUGCAAGACGAUACAAAGUAUGCAAGAUUUGAAUAUUUUGCGGACUAGCUAGAUGUUUCUGAUAAUAAUGAAAUUCAUCUAAAAUUGAAUGUUGAAACAUAUCUAUCUUGAAAUCUUUUCCAAGUCUAAAUUUGAAUUUGGGGUUUUCUACCAAAGGUAAAAAAAGGGUUGGUGAAUUAUUUUGUGCAUUAACUGGAUCUCCCUGCGGAGCCGGCACUUUUGCCUAAUUCUGAGUAUCAUUAUUUGUCAUCAUCUGCAGAAGAGAAAUUUACUUAGAGAUGAGUCUUAUCUAACAAAGCUCUUCUUAAAUGAUCUAGAAGAAAAUUAUUUUUCCUUUAAUAUGUUCGAGUUUUACUUUAAAUCCUCUACUUGUUAUACUAUAUACAAAAUUUAACCAUCUUGUUUUGCUUAGUUUCGACUCGUUUAAUUUAUGUUAAAAUCUUACUAUAGCUUCAUAAUCUGUCCUGGUUGUGAAGGGUUUAGAUAAAUAGAUCUUAAAUUUAUUUACUGAAUUUGUUACUCCUAAUAACUCCGCCUGUGUAAGUUUAUCUUACAUUGCCGGUCCCAAGCCCGGAUAAAGGAGGAGGGGGAGGGUGUCACAUAGUCGACAGCCGGCACUCCUCGGUUACGUCGAAUCAUUAUGAAAAUGAAUCCAGAACGAAAUCGCGCUAAAGCUAGGGUGUCACCCGUAAGUAGCGCACUGUGUAGCCCGAGCACAAUGAUAAGUGAGUAAGAGUCGGUAUAUCUCUAUCGGCACCCGGAUGCAGUGUUAAAUGAACAAGGGGGCCAUAGAAACUUCAUUUCGAACGACUCCACUCAAAGUUGUUUGGGAGCAUAUGCUCCUAUCAACUUUACACAGGACACACAAAAGAAGUACUUUGAUCCUAUUAGACGGGGGAGGGUGAAGAAGCUAGGACAGAAGGGUAGAGUUCAAGAGAGUAGAAUGUGUCUAGGAACGUGGAAUAUAGGAACCUUAACGGGAAAAUUUAUGGAAGUAGUGGAAGUUAUGGUGAGGAGAAGGAUAAAUAUUAUGUGCCUACAAGAAACUAAGUGGGUUGGUCUUAAGGCAAAUGAUCUAUAAAACUCAGGGUUUAAACUCUAGUAUUCGGGCACAAAUAGAACGAGAAACGGUGUUGGCAUCAUCGUGGACAAGACCUUGACACAAGAUGUUGUAGAUGUCAAGAGGGUAAGAGAUAGAAUCAUGGCAAUCAAGAUUGUAAUAGGACAAGAACUCAUCAAUGUGAUUAGUGCGUACACACCUCAAGUAGGGUUGGAUACGAGUUCGAAGGAGAAAUUUUGGGAAGACCUUGGAGACUUGGUGCAAGAAAUUGUGCAGACGGAGAAGUUAUUUAUAGGAGGAGAUUUAAAUGGACACGUGGGCAGGGAGACAGGCAACUAUGGAGGUUUUCAUGGUGGCCAUGGUUUUGGGGAGAGAGAACGAGGAUGGGGAAGCUAUCUUGGAUUUUGCAAUGGCAUAUGAUCUCUUCUUAGCCAACACCUUCUUUAAGAAGAAGAAGAACAUGUGAUCACCUACAAGAGUGGGUUGUCAAAAACACAAAUAGAUUUUCUUCUAAUGAGGAAAGAGGGAUCGUAUAAACUUGUAAGGAUUGCAAAGUUAUACCGGGAGAGAGCUUGGCUAAUCAACAUCGCUUGUUGGUGAUGGAUGUACAUAUCAAAAGAGUGAGAAAAAAGAACAAGACUUGGAAGUGCCCAAGGACUAGAUGGUGGAAUCUAAAAGGAGAAAAAAACAAGCCAUUUUCAAAGAGAAAAGUAAUCACCCAGUGUGUGUGGGAUAGAAAGGGGGAAGCUAGCCAAAUGUGGGAUUCCAUGGCUAGUUGUAUCCGAAAAGUAGCAAAAGAGGUAUUAGGAGAGUCCAAGGGCUUUGCUCCCACACCAAAAGGAAUCUUGGUGGUGGAAAUGAGGAUGUACAAACAAAGGUGAAGGCUUAAGAAGGAAUGUUGUAAAGCCUUAUACAAGGAUAAGACCGAUGAAAAUGGUGAAAGAUAUAGAAAAACGAAGCAAGAGGCGAAGAAAGCUGUGUGAAAAGCUAAGUUAGUGGCUUAUGACGAUAUGUAUAAGCGACUAGAUACCAAAGAAUGAGAGUUGGAUAUCUAUAAACUAGCUAGAGCAAGGGAAAAGAAGACAAGGGACCUAAACCAAGUGAGGUGCAUCAAGGAUAAGGAUGGAAAGGUUCUUGCUACAGAGAACGCGGUCAAAGACAGAUGGAGAGGUUAUUUUCAUAAUCUUUUCAAUGAAGGACAUGAAAGGAGUACUUCUUUAGAGGAGUUGAGUAACUCAAAAGAGUGUAGAAACUACUCCUUUUAUCGUCGAAUCAGGAAGGAAGAAGUGGUUGUAGCUUUGAAGAAGAUGAAGCAUAGAAAAAGCAGUAGGCCCAGACGAUAUACCGAAUCGAAGUGUGGAAAGUCUUUGGGAGAGACAGGUAUAGCAUGGCUCACUGACCUUUUCAAUAGGAUUUUGAAAACGAAGAAGAUGCCAAAUGAGUGGCAAAAGAGCACUUUGGUGCCUAUCUACAAGAAUAAGGGCGACAUACAAAAUUGCAUGAACUAUAUAGGGGUAUUAAGCUAAUGAGUCAUACAAUGAAGCUCUGGGAGAGAGUCAUUGAGCAUAGAUUGAGGCAAGAGACACGGGUUUCGGACAACCAAUUCGGGUUCAUGCCAGGGCGCUCAACCAUGGAGGCAAUCUAUCUCUUACGAAGAUUGAUGGAAAGAUAUAGAGAUGGGAAAAAGGAUUUACACAUGGUCUUUAUAGAUUUGGAAAAAGCGUAUGAUAGGGUCCCAAGAGACAUUCUUUGGAGGAUUUUAGAGAAGAAAGGAGUACGAGUAGCAUAUAUCCAAGCUAUAAAGGAUAUGUAUGAAGGAGCAAAGACUGCCGUAAGAACUCAUGAAGGACAAACCGAAAGCUUCCCCAUAACUGUAGGAUUACAUCAAGGCUCAUCCUUAAGUCCUUACCUUUUUGCGUUGGUAAUGGAUGAGUUAACAGGACAUAUUCAAGAUGAUAUUCCUUGGUGUAUGCUUUUCGCAGACGAUAUAGUGUUGAUAGAUGAAACUCAAGGAAGGGGUAAAUGCGAAAGCUUAACCUUUGGAGAGAAGUGUUGGAAUCUAAAGGUCUUCGCCUAAGCCGAUCAAAGACAGAAUAUAUGGAGUGCAAGUUCAGUGCAAAUGGAGGCCAAAACGAGUUAGGGGUGAGGAUCGGAGAUCAAGAAAUACCAAAGAGCGACCGCUUUUCGCUUACCUAGGAUCUAUCUUGCAAAAGAACGGAGAAUUAGAUGGAGAUCUCAACCAUAGAAUACAAGCUGGAUGGAUGAAGUGGAAGAGUGCAUCCGGCGUGUUGUGUGACCGUCCGUAUGCCACUGAAGCUCAAGGGAAAAUUUUAUAGGACGGCAAUAAGGCCGGCGAUGCUGUAUGGCACAGAAUGUUGGGCGGUGAAGCAUCAACACGUACACAAAAUGGGUGUAGCGGAGAUGAGGAUGCUUCGUUGGAUGUGUGGGCACACGAGAAAGGAUAAGAUUAGGAAUGAGGAUAUCCGGGGGUAAAGUAGGAGUAGCCAAAAUUGAAGGAAAGAUGAGAGAAAAUCGGUUACGGUGGUUUGGACAUGUGCAAAGAAGGCCUACUGACGCUCCAGUUAGAAGAUGUGACUACGGGACAGAGGUUCAAGGCCGAAGGGGUAGAGGAAGACCUAGGAAAACUUUGGAAGAGACUCUAAGAAAAGACUUAGAGUACUUGGAUCUAACGGAGGACAUGACACAGGACCGAGCACAAUGGCGUUCUAAGAUUCAUAUAGCCGACCCCACUUAGUGACUUAGAUUUUUCAAGUUUCCAACCCAGAAGUUUUCCUCACUCGGGAAAUUAAGGGAACACUACCUCAACCUACAUGCUCCAUUCAUAAAGCUUCAACAAAAGAAAAAUUCAAAUAACUUAGCGAAGAAGGCUUUGGUGUAUUUAACACAAUACGUUGAAAUGAAGGAAAGCUUAUUUAUUGAUAUCCCCGAUAAGCUUACAAAUAUGUACAUAUACAUGAGUCAAAAUAAACAAACAAGAAGGGAGCCUUCACAAAGGUUGCUUAGGAGAAGUCUCAGCAGUCGGUAAAGCCCCAGAAAGAGAAGGCACCGGAGGGUGAUCAUUCGGAGCCUCAGUAUUGGACAGAACCCUAGAAGGAGGAGGCAUCGGGAGUUGAUCAUUUGGAGCUUUAUUACGCGAUACAGCUCCAGAAGACGAAGGCAAUAAAUGCCUUUGGAACAAACCCACAAACCCUCUGAUGAUCAAGUAAAAAUCCUGACCAUCAGAUUCCUUCAUCUGGUCAAGCUUCAUCUUCAUGUUUGUAGCAUAGUCAUGUACGAGCCGGUGCAACUGUUUAUUAUCAUGCUUGAGCCCUCUAAUCUCCUAUUUGAGACUUAUCACUUCAGCCGCCAAUGAUUCAACUUGGCGGGUUCGAGCAAAUAGGCGUUGGGCCAUAUUAGACACAGAACCUGCACACUGAACACUGACAGCCAGAUAAUCCUUAACAGCCAACUCAUCAGACCGUUGGAAAAGUAGUCUGUUAUCUUUGGGAGUGAGAAGGUUCCUGGCCACCACCGCAGCAGCCAUAUCAUUCUUCAUCACAGAAUCCCCAACGGUAAGAAGGACCAGUAGGGGAGACGAAGGAUGGGCGCCAUAUGUUGUCUGGAGAAGGCUUGGGGCUGCCUCUUCAACAAGGUUCAAGUCAAAAUGACGGUCGGAGGGGCCAGACAUUUUCAAAGGUGUUGAAGAGAGAAGAGGUCGGACAAAUCAAGAUCUUAGAAGUGCAAGAAUGAAGCUUCUACUAGUGGAGAUUCAAGUGUGCUUUGGAAUUUAAUGCCAGCCUCUAUAAAAAUCUGCACUCGACGGAGCUUCAGAAUUCGAAGAGGCGCCUGCUCAGAAAUCGAAAAGGCGUUUGCUUUCUCAAAAGCUGGGCUGCUCAGAGACCACGAAGGCAGAUCUCAGAAAUCGAAGAGGCGUUUGCUUUCUCAAAAGCUGAGCUGCUUAAAGACCACGAAGGCCAAUUGUAGAAAUCGAAGAGGCGCUUGCUUUCUCAAAAGCUGGGCUGCUCAGAGAUCACGAGGGCCGAUCUCAGAAAUCGAAGAGGCACCUACUUUUUCCAGCCUUGUCAGCACCUGUCACAUGCACACUCAGCUUUGCGGAAAUUAUGGGCAUUCUGUCGAAGAUUUUGGUGAAGUAGAAAGCACGUGAAUCUUACUGUUCAAUCAUCCACUUUCCACACGCAACAUCAGCUCAUGGGUACCACAGAUAACUUUGCCAAAGAUUCUCUGGCAAAGUUGAGACACGUGAAGCUUGCAGCUCCCACUACAUCGCUAUGACCAAGAAAGGUAAAAGAAUAGCAAAGAAACAGCACUAACAAAGUUUAGACACAUAAAUUUUGAAGGUCUAGCUACCAUAUUAUUACCCACAAGGGUAAAGGAAUAGCACCACUGCUGGAUAAUUGGAAAGUCCUUGUGUGUUAACCUCUGUGCUCCGUGGCAAGGUAGACUAGCAAACAUGCCUGAUAGGAACAUAUUUAUGCGACUUAGUUCGCUUGUUCUUGUGCAUUUGUGUUGUUAUUUCUUAGUUAAUUAUGUAUUUUAAGCUAUUUUCGUGUGUUUGUAGGUCAUAAUAACAAAGUUGGCAAGAAAGUGCAUUUUGGAGCAUUUUUGAGCAUUUUUGAGCCAAGAUUGGAUAAUGCAAGCAUGGAGACAUGAGGAUGGAUGUUUUUGAAGAUUUGAAGGCUAGAUAUCAUCAUGUGUGUGUGCAAGUGUGUUGACCUACAACUUCAAACAUCCAUCCACUACACCCAUUACAUCCACUCAUUACCAAACAUCCAUCCACUACACCUAUUACAUCCACUCAUUACCAAACACUCAUCCACUACACCCAUUAUAUCCACUCAUUACCAAACAUCCACCCACUACACCCAUUACAUCCACUCAUUACCAAACAUCCACCCAUUACACCCAUUACAUCCACUCAUUACCAAACAAUCAUCCACUACACCCAUUACAUCCACUCAUUACCAAACAUCCACCCACUACACCCAUUACAUCCACUCAUUACCACAACACUCACCCACUACAACCAUUACAUCCACUCAUUACCACAACACUCACCCAUUACACCCAUUACAUCCACUUAUUACCACAACACUCACCCACUACACCCAUUACAUCAACUCAUUACAACUCCAUACACUCCUCUCCCUAGCCUAUAAAUACAUCCACCCUUCACCAUAAUUAGGGGGCCAUCAUCCAAAGACACUACAUUUCACAUCUCACAACUUCAUUCACAAACACAAUUUCCUUGCCGUGACCUCCAUCCAUUCAUCUAGCCAUACUACAUCUCACCAAUCCAUACACUUUCAUCUCUUAGUUGUGCAAAUCCAUUCCAUCCAUAUAUCCAUACACAUCCUAGACACUUGUGCUACAACAAGGUGGUGAAAACAAAGGUCCUUGGCGUUUUAAGCUUGGAACCUUGGAGCGUUUUAGGUGUACUUCGUUCUUGCUUUCAAUGUCUACUUUGUUAUUUUCUAAUUUUGUUGCAAUUAUGAGUGACUAAACCCCUAUUUAGUUAGGGGGAAGUUUGAAGCCAUGAACAUGCUUGAUAUUUGAAUUGAUUUCUUCCAAUUGUGAUUUGAUAAGUUAUGAUUGCAAUUCAAUUAUCUAUUUUAUUCAUAACUGAUUCUUGUAUGUUUAUGAAGGAUACAUACUUAGUUUUGAUGCAUGAAUUAGAUGCUAGAAUAUAAAUGAGUUUCACCUAAUCGUUACCAGUUUAUAUUCAUGAGUAGUGAAGGUUGUUUAUCACAAUCGCGUUAAUUGAAUUCUUGGCAAUUGUAUCAUGCAUUCAUAGUUAUAAUUGCCUCAUCAACACUUAUGAUUUUCAUUGAACGUAAUGAUCUCUGAUUGUAUCUCUAUUAUGCAAUUCAUAUAGGGGACUUUUAGAGAAUGAUUUGGGUUGUCGCAUGCAUUCAUCCAAUUCAAUGAGUAAAGGAAAAUCUAAGGGUUAAUUUGUGCAUCACGGUUAAUCUGGGGUGUUGAGCAUCAUAGUUUAUUGAAAAGCAAUUGGAAAUCGAUUCAUGUACAAGUGUGUCAUGUGUGAAGAGCGGACCUCUAACUAAUCCAUCCAUAAUUUUAUUUCUCAAAUUCAUUUUAUAAUCUGCCUAGUUUUAUAACUUGCUUGUUUAUUUCGAAUUCGUCAAAACCAAAAUCCCCCUUUUACUUUGUUGUUUCAAAGUGUUAAAUUUCUAUUUCGUUAGUGUUUUUGAGUGUUUUGAUUCAAACCAAAACACUAAAUUCAUCCAAAGUUGUGUUAGAGUCAAAUCUGCCCAGUAAGUGUUUUUAGGCAAUUUUGAGUGAAUUUAAGUUGUUUUGCGUCUUUAGAAUUUGUUUUGAGUCCCUUGAGUCUAUUCAAACAUUUUUAACUUUGUUUUUAUGUUUUUGAGUAAGUUUAGAGGUUUUAGCAAGCCCUCAUAAUCCCCGGUUUAGAACGAUCCCUACUUGCGUUUAUACUACAAUUUGACAACAAGAGGGUUUAAUUUGAGUGCUUAACUUUCAUCGCAUCAAAUUUUGGCGCCAUUGCCGGGGAUUAGCAACUUUGCUAACCCCCCGUUGUUUCUUUUUCAUGUCUUUUGUUUUAGUUACCGACUUUGUUUCUAUUUGUGCCUUUUAUUUCUACUUAUGAUAUUUGAUUUAGUUUUGUUUCCUUGAUUUCAGGUACUAGAGAAGUAAGACAUGAAUUUUGCUACCAUUCAAGCUCAAUUGGCGAAACUUACUUCUCAAUUGUCACAAUAUGCCGAAGGGACCACAAUUCAAAGUGUCCCUACAUAUGGUGUGUCCUAUUAGCAAGGAUAUCCAACUCAUCAAUGUUCUCAAUUCGCUGCGAAUGAAGAUGCUUGGGGUUAUCAAUGCCAUAGCCAAUCAUGGGCAACAUGUUUUCCAACGUUUACAAUUCGGAUUGGAGAGAUUAUUCAGAUUACAUGUGGGGAGAACCUCAACAAUUCCAACAAGAUGGGUAUUGGCAGCAAGAAGAGGAGUUCUAUUCAAGGCCUAUGCAGCCACCACAACAAUCUUUCCUAAUUGAAUUCAAGUACGUCUUUGGAUAAUGAUAUGUUUAAUAAGUUACUCACCUCUUUGAACCAGGAAGUAGAAAAUGGAAACAAAGAGAUGCAAAGUCAAGCCAAGAAGACGGGUGAAUUGGAGAAGCAAAUUGGGCAGAUUAUGGAGUUCAUGGCACAAAUUCAAGAGCAAAGUGAACUCACCAACUCAACUAUUGAAAAUUUGAAGGAAGAUUUUGAAAUCCAUGAUGCUAUCAUUUUGGGAAGUGCUAUAGAGGUUGGAGGUAAACCCAAGACAUCCAAACCAAGCCAAAACAUGGAUGAACAACUGCUGCUCGAAGAAGAGGAGAAUAACAAGGCCACGGCAAGGGAAGAACCACCAUUGCCGCAGCCUCAUAUGCCCUCUAUGUCGUCCAUUAUAACCAAGGUAAGCCUAAAUUCAAUUUGUCCUGACCCCGUUUCACCAAAUGUCCUUAUUCCUUGCAGGAUCAUGCAAUCCAAGGAAGAAGCGGAUGAGAAAGGCAUCUUCGAAACCUUUCCAAAGAAUCAAGAGCAAGAAGUGGAUGGGGAAUGUCUAGAAUUCAUCAAAGAAUAUACACUUGAGACAAAAAUUCCCAAAUAAGUUGGAUUUUCUGACACGGGACAAGUUAUAACUCUCAAAACACCAAAUCUGGCCAAGUCCCAUAUCUUUGCAACCUUCAAAGAUGUUGUGUUCGUAAUUGAGUUUGUGUUGGAGCAAGCAAGUAAGCCAUCUUCUCCAACUUCAAUUUUAUUAUAUACUAACUUGCUGAUUUUGAUGAUUCAGGCACCUACACUAGAAUUUAAACCAUUGCCUGAUCAUGUCAAGUAUCACCAUCCAUUCAAGGAUCAAUUCCAUGCUAUGGGCCCUAUCCAAGUUUAGAAGGAAGUUUCGUCUGGCUGAAAGACGUUAAAGCAAGCGCUUCUUGGGAGGCAACCCAUGUAUUCAAAUAAGGAAUUUUUUGAAUCGCUCCACAAGCAGUUUUGUGUUUCUAAAAACCUUCCCUUUUCUGCAGUUUUAUUUUGCCAUGAUUAUCAUUUUUAUUUGUUGCUUGUUUAAUUGUUUUUGGUGUGGGUUUAUUUUUGAAACACUGACAGAUAUGCAAGGUAUUUUUACAUUCAUUUUCAUGAAAAAAAAAGGAACAUUAAGCAGUAAAAUACAAAAGUGAGCCUUCACAAAGGCUGCUUAGGAGAAGUCUCAGUAGUCGGUGGAGCCUCAGUAGUCGACGGAGCCCUAGAAGGAGGAGGCAUCGGAGGUUGAUCAUUUGGAGCUUCAUUACACGGUACAGCCCCAGAAGACGAAGGCAAAUGCUGUUGGAACAAACCCACAAACCUCUGAUGAUCAAGUAAAAUCUGACCAUCAGAUUCCUGCAUCUGGUCAAUCUUCCUCUUCAUGUUUGUAGCAUAGUUAUGUGAGAGCUUAUGCAACUGUUUAUUCUCAUGCUUGAGCCCUCUAAUCUCCUGUUUGAGACUCAUCACUUCAGCCGCCAACGAUUCAACUUGACGGGUUCGAGCAAAUAGGUGUUGGGCCAUAUUGAACACAAAACCGGCACACUGUACACUGAGAGCCAGAGAAUCCUUAACAGCCAGCUUAUCAGACCGUUUGGAAAGUAGUUUGUUAUAUUUAGGGGCGACAAGGUUCCGGGCCACCACCGCAGCAGUCAUGUCAUUCUUCAUCAUCGAAUCCCCAACGGUAAAAGGAUGGGCGCCAUAUGUUGUCUGGAGAAGGCAUGGCAGCCUCUUCACCAAGGUUCAAGUCAAAACGACGGUCGGAAGGGCCAGACAUUUUCAAAGGUGUUGAAGAAAGAAGAGGUCGGACAAGUCAAGAUAUUAGAAGUGCAAGAAGGGAGUUUAUACAAGUGCAAAUUCAAGUGUGCUUUGAAAUGAACUGCGUGCCUCUAUAAAAAUCAACACUCGACGGGAUUUCAGAUAUCGAAGAGGCGAGCUCAGAAUUCAAAGAGGUCAAUUCAAAAAUCGAAGAGGGGCUAGCUUUCUCAAAAGUUGGGCUUGCUCAGAAACCACGGGCCAUCCUCUGUUCUAGAUUUGUCCGCACUCGUCACAUGCAACCUCUGGACUCGACGGAGCUCAGAACUUGAAGAUGCAAGCUCAGAAAUCGAAGAGCCAUCUGCUUUUCCAGACGUAUCAGCAUCUCUCACAUGCACGCUCAGCUUUGCAGAAAUCACAGGCAGUUUGUCGAAGCGUCGAUUCCAGAUAUCGAAGAGGCGUCUGCUUUAUCCAAACGUGUCAGCAUCUGUCACAUGCACGCUCAGCUUUACGAAAAUCACGGGCAAUCUGUCGAAGAUUUCUGGUGAAGUAGAAAGCACGUGAAGUUUAUUGUUUAAUCAUCCAACGGUUGCCGACAAGAGUGAAAGAAUAGUACCGGUUAUUAUUUCCUAUAAAUGUCGACCUUCACCCUCCAUAGCAAAGCAGACAUACAUAACCUUCCGUCAUCUCCGAGAAUGCCUUCCCAACGAAGCCUCUUGAGUCACUCAGUGUUCCUUAUUCCUUGGGGUACCUCUGCAAACAACUCAUCCAAAGCAAAAGUAUUUCAUAUCAUGAAGGUUGAAAGCAAGAGUAUCUCAUAUCAUGCUUUCUCCCUGUCCUUCUCCUUGUCGUUGUUUUCAUCUACGAGACAAGGAGAAAGAGAGCAAUCAGCCAGCACUUGGUAUCAAUCUUCCGAUCUGAAACUGACUGCCUGGAACCCCUUCUUGAUUGCUUACCUAGCCCUGCUCUCGAGUACUCAUCUUCAACAUCUUAUGCUUCCUCUUCGUCUACCACAUCUGCUUGGGGAACAGAUAAGGGAAGUGAAAAUGAUACCUCGAAGCAUGUGGAGACAAGGUACUAAUUCAUCCUCAGCUAGGGACAAGGAGAAAGAAAGCAAGAGGUGGGCACUUGGAAAGAUUGAAGAAAUAAACAGACCAUCACUUCUACCUCGUGCCUGUCUGUCGUGCAGAAGAAACAAGCAGAGAAGAAUGCAGACUGCACAAUCAAAUCAACCCAGCAGAAGGAGUCUGAUUUGAAACCAAGGAACUCUCGCUUAGAAUUCCGAACCAGUUCGAGAUCAAAGCUGUGGAAAGACAACAAGAUCACCUAUCUCUAAAACCAGAUUUGCGUUCUUAAACUCUACUCUGUCUGGUUUUUACUUUGCCAUACUUGUCAUGUUUAUUCGUUGUUUGUUUGUUUGCUUGUUUGUGUGUGAGUUUAUGCUUGAAACAUUGAGGAUAAUGUUUGAUUUAAGUGUGGGGGGGGGGGUAACCAAGUUGUUUUGCAUGAAAUUCGUAGGAGUUUAUCACCCAUUACUUCUAGAGUUGUUCCUUGCUGUUUUAAGUGUUUUUUUAAGAUUUUUUGGAGUGUUUUAAUGUGUUUUGAUAUAAAAAUCCGAAAAUCUCAUAAAAAUUGGAAAAAUUGUUUUGAAAAACCCAAAAAGAGUUGUUUUUGUAUGUUUAUUUGUGUCUUAGGGUACCUUCCAACACAAUGAUGAGGAUUUGGUUUUUAAUUACAUGACUGUUAAAGAGAGUUAUAAACAUGGAUGAAAAUUUGAUUUACUCUUUGAUGUAUGCUUGGUUGUGGUUAUAAUUUAAGAAUUCACAUGCAAUCAUAAAAGGAAAAAUCAGUUUUUUUUGUAACAUGCUUGAAAGAAGGAACUCAAACUAACGUUACAUCAUUGAGAGACUUAGGCCUAAACAUUUAUUUGGAGUUAUUGAUCUGUGCAAUUUUUUUAUUUUCUAAAGUCGUUGCAUGAUCUCAUUAUUCUUUGCUUGGUUGCUACUUAGAAGGCGUUUCAUCAUUUAGUUCCAAAUGCUUGAACUCAUGCUUAUUUCAUUCAAAGCAUGUUAUUGAUUUGCGUAACACAUAUUCAAGAUGAAGUUGUUUAGUGAGCCAAGAGCCAAAAAGCCUAUCUCGUUCAUUAUGUGUUUAAGUUUAACCCCGUUGAGUCUUGUGUUGCCUAUGUUCUUUGUUACCCACGCUAUCCUCACCUAGCCUAGAUUAGGACCAUCCAUACCCUUGUUCUUGAAGCAUAGUAAAGCAUAAUUUAGAAGGAAUUCCUUUUGUUGAACUCUUGCAGAAAAACAAGUGUGGGGGAAGUGAUUCUUGUGUGUGUGUGUGUGCCAAAGUCCUUCAUAAGGCACGGGUAGAAAAGGAAAAGAAAAAGAAAAAUUCGUGGAAAAUAGAAUGAAAAGAACAAAAGUUGUGAAAAGAGUUUAAAAUUUUAUGAGAAAGAGCUCUAAAGUGUUGUUUGUUGAAGAAAGGGUCCAAAGCAUUGAAUUCGACCCUAAGUGUUGCAUGAAUCUUCCCUUUGUGUUUAAAAGUUGAUUUUUGCAUUCUAAAGUAAAUUUCAAGUGUCGAUUCCAUUACUUUGCUUGCUAUCGCUUUAAGAACAUUUGUUAUUCCUAUCCUUUCUUUGUUAGCCAUUACCCCCAAGCCCUGUUACAACCCUUGACUUCAAUCUUGAGUGUUGUGUGUUUCAAUUUGUGGAGUUUGAAAUUGAUAUGAGCAUAUGGUGUCACUGGUUCUUGCAUCUAAGUAGUAGCAUUCCAUUCAUGAGAUCAUAUAUAUACAUGAAUUAAUAAUUCCAGAAAUUGCUUCUUUGUUGAAAAACAUAUGUGAGUACUAGAUUUCAUGUUUACAUCAAUCUUCUCACAUAUACCUAAUAUAGGGAGUGUAGUCAGAAAUUCUUGUGUGAAAAUAAGAAUGUAUCUAGUAAGGAAUUGAGAAAAUUCUCUAAGGCAUGUUACUAUAUUCAAAAUGCUGUUUUAAUUUAUUAAAUGUGAGCUAGUGAAUGGUGACUAUGAUUAAGUAUGCUCGAGGGUAAGGAAUGCUUAAAUCUAUGUAAGUGGUGAUCUUUGGCAUGUCAUGUUUCAUUGAAAAUCCUUGACGCAAAUGUUGGAAGGUUAGGUUAUGUUUUCUUUGUUUUGUUUGUUUUGUUUCGUUUUGUUUCUUUUGUUUUGCUCGAGGACUAGCAAAAGCUAAGUGUGGGGGAAUUUGAUAGGAACAUAUUUAUGCGACUUAGUUAGCUUGUUCUUGUGCAUUUGUGUUGUUAUUUCUUAGUUAAUUAUGUAUUUUAAGCUAUUUUCGUGUGUUUGUAGGUCAUAUAACAAAGUUGGCAAGAAAGUGCAUUUUGGAGCAUUUUUGAGCAUUUUUGAGCCAAGAUUGGAUAGUGCAAGCAUGGAGACAUGAGGAUGGACAUUUUUGAAGAUUUGAAGGCAAGAAAUCAACAUGUGUGUGUGCAAGUGCGUUCACCUACAACUCCAAACAUCCAUCCACUACACCCAUUACAUCCACUCAUUACCAAACACUCAUCCACUACACCCAUUACAUCCACACAUUACCACAACACUCACCCACUACACCCAUUAUAUCCAUUCAUUACAACUCCAUACACUCCUCUCCCUAGCCUAUAAAUACAUCUAACCUUCACCAUAAUUCGGGGGCCAUCAUCCAAAGACACUACAUUUCACAUCUCACAACUUCAUUCACAAACACAAUUUCCUUGCCGUGACCUCCAUCCAUUCAUCUAGCCAUACUACAUCUCACCAAUCCAUACACUUUCAUCUCUUAGCUGUGCAAAUCCAUUCCAUCCAUAUCUCCAUACACAUCCUAGACACUUGUGCUACAACAAGGUGGUGAAAACAAAGAUCCUUGGCAUUUCAAGCUUGGAACUUUGGAGCGUUUUAGGUGUACUUCGUUCUUGCUUUCAAUGUCUACUUUGUUAUUUUCUAAUUUUGUUGCAAUUAUGAGUGGCUAAACCCCUAUUUAGUUAGGGGGAAGUUUGAAGCCAUGAACAUGCUUGAGAUUUGAAUUGAUUUCUUCCAAUUGUGAUUUGAUAAGUUGUGAUUGCAAUUCAAUUAUCUAUUUUAUUCAUAACUGAUUCUUGUAUGUUUAUUAAGGAUGCAUACUUAGUUUUGAUGCAUGAAUUAGAUGCUAGAAUAUAAAUGAGUUUCACCUAAUCGUUACAAGUUUAUAUUCAUGAGUAGUGAAGGUUGUUUAUCACAAUCGCGUUAAUUGAAUUCUUGGCAAUUGUAUCAUGCAUUCAUAUUUAUAAUUGCCUCGUCAACACUUAUGAUUUUGAUUGAACGUAAUGAUCUCUGAUUGUAUCUCUAUUAUGCAAUUCAUAUGGGGACUUUUAGAGAAUGAUUUGGGUUGUCGCAUGCAUUCAUCCAAUUCAAUAAGUAAAGGAAAAUCUGAGGGUUAAUUUGUGCAUCACGGUUAAUCUGGGGUGUUGAGCAUCAUAGUUUAUUGAAAAGCUUGGAAAUCGAUUCAUGUACAAGUGUGUCAUGUGUGAAGAACGGACCUCUAACUAAUCCAUCCAUCAUUUAUUUCUCAAAUUCAUUUUAUAAUCUGCCUAGUUUUAUAACUUGCUUGUUUAUUUCGAAUUCGUCAAAACCAAAAUCCCCCUUUUACUUUGUUGUUUCAAAGUGUUAAAUUUCUAUUUCGUUAGUGUUUUUGAGUGUUUUGAUUCAAACCAAAACACUAAAUUCAUCCAAAGUUGUGUUAGAGUCAAAUUUGCCCAGUAAGUGUUUUUAUGCAAUUUUGAGUGUAUUUAAGUUGUUUUGCGUUUUAGAAUCUGUUUUGAGUCCCUUGAGUCUAUUCAAACGUCUUUAACUUUGUUUUUAUGUUUUUAAGUAAGUUUAGAGGUUUUACCAAGCCCUUCUAAUCCCCGGUUUAGAAGGAUCCUUACUUGCAUUUAUACUACAAUUUGACAACAAGAGGGUUUAAUUUGAGUGCUUAACUUUCAUCACAUCAAAUUUUGGCGCCGUUGCCGGGGAUUAACAACUUUGCUAACCCCUCGUUGUUUCUUUUUCAUGUCUUUUGUUUUAGUUACUGACUUUGUUUCUAUUUGUGUCUUUUAUUUCUACUUAUGAUAUUUGAUUUAGUUUUGUUUCCUUGAUUUCAGGUACUAGAGAAGUAAGACAUGGAUUUUGCUACCAUUCAAGCUCAAUUGGCGAAACUUACUUCUCAAUUGUCACAAUAUGCCGAAGGGACCACAAUGCAAAGUGUCCCUACAUAUGGUGUUUCCUAUUGGCAAGGAUAUCCAACUCAUCAAUGUUCUCAAUUCGCUACGAAUGAAGAUGCAUGGGGUUAUCAAGGCCAUAGCCAAUCAUGGGACAACAUGUUUUCCAACGUUUACAAUUCGGAUUGGAGAGAUUAUUCAGAUUACAUGUGGGGAGAACCUCAACAAUUCCAACAAGAUGGGUAUUGGCAGCAAGUAGGGGAUAAGAAGGGGAUAAGAAGGACCAGUAGGGGAUAAGAAGGAUGGGCGCCAUAUGUUGUCUGGAGAAGGCGUGGCUGCCUCUUCAACAAGGUUCAAGUCAAAACGACGGUCGGAGGGGCCAGACAUUUUCAAAGUGUUGAAGAGAGGAGGUCAGACAAAUCAAGAUCUUAGAAGUGCAAGAAUGGAGCUUCUACUGGUGAAGAUUCAAGUGUGCUUUAGAACUUAAUGCCAGCGUCUAUAAAAAUCUGCACUCGACAGAGCUUCAGAAAUCGAAGAGGCGCCUGCUCAGAAAUCGAAGAGGCGUUUGCUUUCUCAAAAGCUAGGCUGCUCAGAGACCACGAGGGCCGAUCUCAGAAAUCGAAGAGGCGUUUGUUAUCUUAAAAGCUGAGCUGCUUAAAGACCACGAAGGCCGAUCUUAGAAAUCGAAGAGGCGCUUGCUUUCUCAAAGCUGGGCUGCUCAGAGACCACGAGGGUCGAUCUCAGAAAUCGAAGAGGCACCUGCUUUUUCAGCCUUGUCAGCACCUGUCACAUGCACACUCAGCUUUGCGGAAAUUACGGGCAUUCUGUCGAAGAUUUUUGGUGAAGUAUAAAGCACCUGAAUCUUACUGUUCAAUCAUCCACUUUCCACAUGCAACAUCAGCUCAUGGGUACCACAGAUAACUUUGCCAAAGAUCUCUGGCAAAGUUUAGACAUGUAAAGCUUGUAGCUCCCACUACAUCGCUAUGACCAAGAAAGGUAAAAGAAUAGCAAAGAAACAGCACUAACAAAGUUUAGACACAUAAAUUUUGAAGGUCUAGCUACCAUAUUAUUACCCAUAAGGGUAAAGGAACAACACCACUGCUGGAUAAUUGGAAAGUCCCUGUGUGUCAACCUCUGUGCUCCGUGGCAAGGUAGACUAGCAAACAUGCCCAACCUUUACUCACAUUCGAGAAAACAUUCCCAACAAGAUUGCUUGCUCCAAAAUCGAAGAGGCACCGCCCUCCGAAUCUCGAGAGCCAGACUCCCAACAUGAUUACUUUAUCAAAAAUCGAAGAGAGACCGCUUUCCGAAUCUCGAGAGCCAGACUCCCAACAUGAUUGUUUUCUCAAAAAUCGAAGAGGCACUGUUCUUCGAAUCUCGAGAGCCAGAUUCGCGACAGGAUUGCUUGUUCGAAAACCGAAGAGGCACCACUUUCUCAACUUCGAGAGCCAGAUCUCCUUGGAUAAAGCUUGUCUGUAAUCUUCACACGCAACAUCAGCUUUCCAGAUACCACAGACCACUUUUUCAAAGUGCUCUGACAGAGUUAAAACACGUGAAGCUGGCAACUCCCACUACAGUGUUAUGACCAAGCAGGGUAAAGGAAUAACAUUACUACUUGUUGUUAAGGAGACUCCUAUAUAUGUCGACCUCCAUCCUCAACGGACAGGCAGACCUGCAAAAAUGCUCAACCCUUCCUCAUAUCUGAGAGGGCACUCCCAACGAAGCCUUUCAAAAUACUCAGCUUUCUUUUCCCCCGAUAAUACCUCUGUAAACAAGCUACACCUGAGCAAGAAUAUCUCAUAUCAUCAGGGUUAAAAGAAAGAGUAUCCCAUAUCAUGCUUUUCCCUGUCUUUUCCUUUGGCCUUGUUCUUACCUGCAAGACAAGGAGAAAGAGAGCAAUCAGUCAGCACUUGGAAUCAAGCUUCCAGUCAGAAAUUGACUGCUUGGAACCCCUUACCUAAUUACCUACCUAGCAUUGCUCUCGAGUACUCAUCUUCAACAUCUUAUGCUUCUAGAGAAGAUACCACAUCUGUUUGAGGAACAAAUAGGGCAAGUGAGAAGGAUACAAGGAAGCAUGUGGAGACAAGCGUAACAGAACACGUGCCGAUACAUCCACUACUUUGUCAACAGCAAAAGUAUCCCAUAUCAGCAGGGUCGAACGUAAUCUAGAUUUGAUGAACUUGUUUUGACCCUCAAAUUCUUCAGUCGGCCUUAUACUUUGGCGGAAACCAAAAAACCCUCUAACCCAGUUCAAGAAUAAGCAUGUGGAAAGUUACUUCUUCAAAAGAAAAAGUAUCUCAUAUCAUUUCUUCUUCUUUUUCUUGUCUUCAUCCUUCAUGCUGCCUUCAAGAUAGGGAGAAUGAGAACAAUCAGCCGGAACUCGAAAUCAAACUUCUGAUUUGGGACUGAUUGCUUGGAGCUCUGAUUGCUUACCUUGUCUGUCACCUCUUUCAGUAGAUCCCCUAGCUCGGCGACUUGGGGGACUCCUACUACACGGUUUGUAUCACGCUUGACCAAGCUUGAAACUACAAGUAAGCUUCAAGUGAAAUUAAUACAUUACCUUGUGCAUCUCCAUCAGUUAAAGAUACCACCCCUGGAUGGAGGAAGAGUACUUCCAGAGAAGAUGCCACAUCUACCUAUGAGAUAGAUAAGGUAAGUGAAGACGAUACCACACUUCGGUACUUAGAAGUUUCAUGAUUACUCAGCAGCUUGGACUUGUAAGUCCCCAACUGAGGAGUUUCCCUCACUCGGGAACUUAUGGGAGCACUGUUUGUACCAUACUUGACCAAUCCCGAAACUACCGAGCACCGAUCAACGUUACACCAUCAAGGACCUAGAAACGUUUCACUCCAACUAGGAGGCCAAUCACAGAGCGACACGUGUCGACAUCAGAAGCCAAUCAUAGUGCGACACGUGCCAACAUCGGAAGCCAAUCACAACACGAUAGGUAUCAAUGUCAGAACAAGGCUAGAAACUCUCUUCUAUAAAAGGAGAUCAUUCUUCCACAAUAUUUCCUAAUGUCAUUUGUACUAAAUCAUUCACUUGUACUCACUAAAUGAGAGUUUGAACCUAUGUACUUGUGUAAACCCUUCACAAUUAAUGAGAACUCCUUUACUC
rnacentral:lncRNA from 1 species